rnacentral:lncRNA from 1 species
CUUCAAUGACAUUUACUUUCAUAUAUUUUUAAACAAAAGGAUCUAUAUUUUUAUUUUACCCAGGUAAAGUAGAGUGGUCAGGGUAGAAACCCUGAGAACCUUAGUAGGCUACUGUAGGAAGUCAGGCCCAAGAUGGUGGUGCCUUGGACCAGGGUGGAAACAGCCAAGUUGGUAAGAACAGGGCUACUACUUCUAGAGAUAUUUUGAAGGUUCUUUUUCUCUCUAUCCAUUCUUCCUUCCUUUUCCUUCUUUCUCUCUCUCCUACAUGAUAAUUCAGAUGAUUCCUAAUUAAAAAUGGAAGAUUUCAAAAGAAAAUCCUGGGGUAAGUUGGUUAGAGCAGGCACGACCAAUUUAGGUAUGAAAUAACUCCCUGAAGUACUUUUGCACUAAAUUAUGGUAGAAGUACACUUGCUAGGGCCUUUUUAAUUCAGCAAAGUCACUGACUUCAUACUUGGUCAUUGUUGGUAGUAGCAUUUUUUUUCUAAUGAAUGCUGAGUCCAUAUAAAAUACUGUAAAUAGGUGGAACACAUGCAAAUGACUCUCCCAAGUACAUUACAAAGCUCUCCUGAACCAAAUGUUACGUGUCCAAUUUUUAAAAAAAAUAUUAGCUCCAUUAUAAAGUGGACCUAAAGCACUUCUGGAUUUUAGAACAGCUUGUCACUUGACAGGAAAGGUACCAGAUUGCUACCAUCUGAUGUUCACUGCUGUCAUUUUAAGCCCUCAUGAAGUCUUUUAAACAGCCAGAAUGAAAUACGCUGGGUUUCUUUCUUUGUUUCUUUUUUUUUUUUUAUUCCUAAUAAGUCACGAUCCAUCCCAAACCUGUUUCGGCCAUCAGCAGCUCUGGUGCUCCUCACCUGGAUGCCUCCCGAGGGGUUCUUUUUCUUGGACAGCAAGUCAGUUAUCACCCUGAAGAGAUAAACCAUUGUUGAAGACAAGGGAACGUGCUGAAGAGGUGGUAAAACGAAGCAGGGGUUAAGCAGAGUCUGCCCCCAAGUAAAGUCAUUGUGUACCUGCAUUUUAGCUGGAUCAAGAAUUACAACCGUGGUAAUUAGCAGUGCAUUUUUGUAUUAUGGCAUGCCAGGCCUGUGACUUUCUUCUUUCUUUCUUUUCUUUUUCUUCCCCCCGCUCCCUGAGACUUGUCCUAAGGAGAAAGCCAGGGGAAAAAUGAAGUGAGAAUUAGAUUAAAGCUGCCUUGCACUGCCGAAUGCUGAGUCUACAUGAGCUGCAGGAUCAAGGGCCAGCACUGGAAAAGCUUUACUACAGUUGCUAAAAGUAAGCACAGCAUCAGAAUUUUGUCCUUCUUCAAUGCUAUCUGCUUUUAGUGAGGGUCACUGGUGUGUGUGUGUGUGUGUGGGGGGGGGUGAUGCUUUUUGAAAAAUCAAGGAUAAAGAAUAAACAACCGUAAGCCUUCCUGGCUCAAACAAAUUAUUUUCCGGUGAGUAGAUAGAGUGCUAAGUGGGAGGCAGGGAGCUUGAACCUGAGCAUCUUGAUUGGUAAUCAGUGCCUGCCUUUCUCUGUGUUCAGAAAGCUAGUAAGAAACAUACGAUCAAGUUCAAGUAACUCUCCUUGAGCACACAAACCGGCACAAAGAGAAGACAUUCAAGCAUCCAGAGCAAAAAAAGAACCAUUUUGCUAUCCAGGAUUUUGUGUGUGUUCUUGGUGUGGUACUUUAACAGAUGUCCAGGUGUUUGUGUUUUGGGUGGGGGAAGGAGUGGGGAGCACUUUAAAAAUGGGUCUUGAAUGACAUCAUUACUUUAUAUAUGGAAGAAAUAUUUUGUUCAAUUUAGUUAUUAAGUAGUGAGUUUCUUUCCCUUCUUUGUGAUGUCUUUUCUUCAUCACACAUUAUUGAAAGUUGGCAAAUUCUAGACAGUCACCCUCAAAUAAGAUUUUUUUUUCCUUUUUUCUGGAACUUCUUUAAGGACACUUGUCAGGCAAAUGUUGGAGCUACUUUAUCGAAGCGCUGCAUGUUCUGUGGGUGGCUUCAUAUACUCGAAGCAUCUAUUAUCCUUGAACAUAUGAAAUUUGAGGACAGAAGGGAACAGACUGAGAGCUGAAUUUGCAUUUGCUGAAUGGCAACUGAUGUAAACAAAAUGUCCACUCUUUGGACUGUUGGCAGCCACAGUUAACCUCCAGAGGAAGUACUUAUAACUAUUUCUCUUUUUCUAGUGGGAGUGCUGAAAACUUACAACCUCUUUGGGAAUUUCACUUUUCUCCAUGAAGCUGCAAAGGGAGCCAUUUGAUGUACUUUUAAUUAUAAGCUGUUUUGAAUGUUGAAAGUUCUUUUCCAGCACAUAUGAUUAGAAGCUUAUGAAAAAUAUGUUGAGAUUUAAACAAUCUCGCUGGAAUUUUACUUACCUGAAAAAAAUGCAUAAAAAUGGAGCUAUAGUGUAGUAAUAACAAUGUCACUAACAGUGUGAGUGACAUCACUCCUUGAGAGCUCACUAGGUACUGGGCACUGUUCUAUGUAAUAAGUUCAUCGUACAAAUACUAUGUAUAUUUAUAGAUGUCUUAAAGUUUAAAAAUUCUCUCCAUGGUUUCAUGAGGAAAGUAAUAUUAUCAUCUCUGUUCUGAAGUGCAGGAAGGUUAAGAUAUUUGUCAAAGGGCAUAAAGCUAUAUAUGCCAGCACAAACAUGGAUUCUAAGUAUUUAAACAGUAGACAAAAUAUAGUGGUAUCUUUCAUUCCAAAUGAUUAAUUUCCUUACUUUAUAAAAUUUAAAAAUUCUAGAAAAACAUAAAGGUAAAUGUUGCAUUUGUAAAUAGUAAUGACUCUUCAGUUUCUCUACAAGUCUAUGGAGAAUGUUAUAAUUAAUCAAGUUUGGAUUUUGAACCUAUAUUAACUUUCAAAGAGAACAUUAACGAAUGAGAACAUUAAUAACUCAUAAAUGGUGACAUUAUGGCAUUUGAGCAGAUAAGUAAAAAUUAAGGCAGUGUCCAUAAAUAAUGGCACACAAAUAUCAUGAAAUAUUAUGCAGUCAUUAAACAUGAAUUUGGGAGAAUUAUCUAGUAUAUUAAUGGUGAAGAAAAUUUGUUGAAUCAUUUUUAAAUUUGAUCUCCUCUUGGAAAUCAAAUUUUACCAAAUCCUCCCACAUAUGUAUAGGUGUGUUGUUUGGUUGAUUAUUCUGUUCAAGUGAUGUACACAUGUACAAAUGUGUUGGUAUUUAUGUUGGCAUAGAAAAAUGCAUGGAAAGAUGUACUGUUAAAUUGGUUACUUUGGAAUAGGAAGAGGGCAUAAGGUUGUGGGUAUGUAUGUGAGCAUGUGGACAGGCAAAAUUAGAGAAGAAAAAUAAAAAGGAAAACAACAUGUGCUUAUAGGUACAUGCAUUAAUGAUGAUAAUAAUUAUAGGAACACUAGCAUAGGUAUCAGAAAACAUGGAUCCUGAUGCCAGUUUUGACAGUGGCUUAUCAUAGUACCAUAGAUAUAUUGCUCUUUCUAUGGCCCUACAUCUACAUUUUUGUCUGUAUCUGUGUCUUUCUAUCAUCUAUCUAUCCCUAACUCAUGAGACUGGAAAUUGGGCAAAAUUCAAGAGAGAUUAUACAAUUAUAUUUGUUAUAUAGAAGAACAGUGUGAACUUGCUGGAUCUGGUCCUUUUUCCUAAUAUCAUGGAAUUUGGGAGCAGGAAGGGACCUUAAAAGAUCAUCUCAACCAAUUCCUUCUUUGUACAGAUAAAGAACAAGAAACUUGUGUUAAGCGAUCUGGCCAGGUGAAACAUAUUCUUUUACUUAACUUCCAUUGUGUAAGAACAAAUAUGGUUUGUUGACAAAUAAAUAUUUAAAUAACAUAAUAGUUUUGAGACCAAAUAUACAUUAAAAUAUAGAUUGAAAUCUAUGUUGAUGGUAUCAAAAAGACAAAACAUGUUUUUAUUAGCUAGUAUUUCCAAGUCUUCCCCUUUACACUUUAUAAAAUGGAUCUAUUCAAACAUAAUUUCAUGGUUUUGUUCAUAUGACUAAAUAAAGGAGAAAGUGUUAGGAUAUUUUCAAGCACUACGCAGAAAAAAAUAUGUGCAGAUAGGAGGUCUUAACCUCCAGUAAAUGAAAGUCAACCUGAGAUAAUUUUUCCAAUAUUUUCUCUGUUUUGGAAAUAUCGAAAAAAUAUUGGUAGGAUGAUUUUAACAUAUGGAUUCGGUGGAAAUCCUCUUAAUACAAAUUUGAAAUAUUAUCUUUCUUUCUUUUGUUUGUUUCUUAUUAAUUCCCAUUUCAAUAUCAGUGUUUCUUAUGUUGCCUGUACUUCUGGUCUUCCACUGUGGAUAUACGUUAAAAUAUAGGAGACAAAGAAUAAGUGUAAUUUAAAACUGCAUGAUGUUCAAAACCAACACAGUGGUGGUGGCGAUGUGUAGCUGAGCGGUCAUCUAAGUGACUAGAUCAUGAGCACGCUCAUCUGGUCUCCAGGGUCUGCACAUACACAGCUCAAGGCACUUUCCAAUAGGAAGGCAAGAAAUAUUUGAAUGGCCAUUUAAUUUAGUAAGUUAAAAAAUAGAAACAAAACAGAAGCCUUAACCACCCACCAUGGUGUGAACCCUGUGAAAACAUGUCUGUGGAUGGGUGAAUCGUGUCUGUGCAACUAAGCUCUGCUUCUCUAGGUGAGUGUGUGUGUGUUUAACACAGUUGAGAUCAUAUUCUGCUUUAUCUCAAUUGUAUCAUUUUUCAAUCAUAAAUAUUCUUUAAUAGCAUAUUUUGUUCUAUAAAAUAUUUCAGUGUUAUCAGUGUGUCUGGUUUAUACUCUUCUUAGGAAUGGAUUGGUCCCCAGGAGUAGAAACAGACUCCGAAAGAGGGGUUUUGGGUAAGGAUAAAGAGAAAUCUCAUGGAGCAACACCCAGGAUGUAUAGCUGCAUCCAUCAUCGCUUUUGCUCCUGUAAUUUCUCUGAUUGUAACUGGUUUCAGUUUCUGAUUGAAGGUCUCCCUCACCCUCCUCUGGGUAUAGAUUAAGACCUUCAAAGGCCCCUAAUACCUCUUCCUUCUCCACCGUCUUGCCUCUCGCGUGGUUCAUGCUGCUGUGAACCCCAACCCAGCUCAGCCCUGUGCUGGCUCUACAGCUGAGCACCUUCCUAGUAACUUCCUGCGCAUGCGUGCGUGCUUAUGAGCUCCUGAUCUCAUACUCUGGCGAAUGAGUCUGUUUAAAGUUAAGGAGCUAUAAACUGGAUGUUUUUUAGUCAUUCCCAUUCUAAUAUGCUCUGUGGACCCUCCAUUUAUCUUGGCAUCUCAAGAAUAAAUAACAGCUGUAAUCCCAGUGGCUUGGAAGGCUGAGGCAGGAGGAUUUCGACUUCAAAGCCAGCCUCAGCAAUGGUGAGGCACUAAGCAACUCAGUGAGACCCUGUCUCUAAUAAAAUAAAAAAUCAGGCUGGGGAUGUGGCUCAGUGGUCAAGGGCCCCUGAGUUCAAUCCCUGGCCUCUCUGCCCCCUGCAAAAAAAUAAUAGAUAACAGAUAUUUUUUGAGAAUGAGUCAUGGGCAGGGCAAGCAAAGCCCCUAUUCCAUACCCACAGACUUUGAACACUCUCCAGCAUGUUGUAUUUAUCUGACCCUCUCUGUUUCAGUAGUUUCCUUUUGCCACAUUAGACUGCUGUGUUCUCAAGAGAGAGGCGAUGUUUUUGUCUACAGUAAAGGGGAAGGGAUCUCUGCAGUUUUUAAUCUAUAUCUACUUAUUUAUGUAUCUAUCACUUCAGUGAAUUGAGUAAAAACCGGACAUUUAAAAUUCUGAGUUCAUUUUUAUAUUCCUUUUAUUGAUACAUCCAAGAAAAAAGCUUUAGAGCACUUCCUGCCUAAUAUAAUUUCUCCACUGAUUAGGAUAAUAUAUUUUAUAAACUAUACCAUUUCUUAUUAUUGGUAUCUAUUCACUGCUCAUUAAAAUUAAAUUGGGUCUUGAAAACUAAAAUUAAGCUGCCCCCAUAAGUAUAUCAAACAAGGAAGCAAAAAAAAAAAAAAAGAAAGAAAGAAAGAAAAAGAAGAAAAAGAAAAAGUAUUUUGCAAACUUUAGUAAUAAAUAUUUGAUACCUAAAGAGCAGAGGCAAUUGGAAGAAGGGAGUCUUCGGAAAGAAUAAUAAGAAUAGAUACACGGCUGGGGAGAGGAGAAAACUGUAGUAGAGAAAAUAAAAGCAGCUGAGAAGAGUUGUGAUAACAGUUUUGAGGGAGUAGAAGCUUUCAAGGGGGGAAGACCAAGGAAUCAGUAGAAAGAUCAAGGAGAGACAGGAAUGGAAAAAACUCACUGUGAAAAGAGAGUGAAGAGGGCUCACAUUUUAAUGAUUUAUGCUGAAAAUUGGUAGUACAUUUCAAAAAAUCAUAAGGAAAUCUGAUAGUACAUUUCAAGAACAAUCGCAUAAUCAUAUCCUUUAUUCCGUAUUCCCAGUUCCUAGAAAUUUAAGGAUGAACUCUACACCAGGGAAAUAUUAAGUUCAUAAAGACAUCCUUCCUAUUUUUUUAAAUGGACAGAAAAUGAAAAACCUGUGUAAGCAUUAUGGUUUGGAUAUGAGGUAUCCCCUAAAAGCUCGUGUGUAAGACCACACAGGAAUGUUCAACAGUGAAAUGAUCUGAUUAUGAGCACUGAACUGAAUCAGUGGAUUAAUCCACAUUUGAAAGGUCUACUGUACUGGAUGGAGCUACCGUCAGUGUGUGGCUGGAGGAAGUAGAUAACUGGGGCAUGCUCUUGGUGUUUAUAUUUGUCUCUGGUGCCUUGAUCUCUCACUCUGCUUCCUGGCUGCCACCAGCCUAGUGGCUGUCAUCUGCCAUGAUAUUCUGCCUCACCUCAGGCCCAUAACAAUGAAGUUGGCUAUCCAUGGUCUGAUCCUCUGAAACUGUUAGCCCCAAAUAAACUUUUCCUUCUCUAAGUUGUUGUUAUCCCAGAGACGCAAAGUUGACUGACACAGUAAGUCUAAUUAUGUGAAAGUAGUUUAAUUAUAGUACAUCAACACAUCAGAAAAAUGGACAUCCUUGCAUAUAAAAAAUAUAAUGAUAAGGCAGCAAAUUUUCACACUAUAAUAUAAAAAUUACCAUUAAUUACAACUAUAUGAAUGCAUGUGGUAAGAUUUGGAAGUGAAUAGAGAAAAAUGAGACCAGUAGAAUCCUAAUAUGGUGAGAUUCUGGGUGAUUUCCAUUGUGGAAUAUGCUAUUAAAUUUGAAAAUUAUGGGAAAUUGUUAAAAUUCGAGGCUGUAAUUUGAUAUAUUAUAGGGAAGAAAGCAAAGCUUAAAGGAGCAAGUUGCAAGUGGAUGAAGAAUAAGUGGAGAUUUCGGGAAGAUGUCAGUUGUGGAAACAUGGCUCUGAAGGGAAAGUAGUGGCAUUUGAACAGGAGUACAUCGUUUAAAUAUAAGAGGCAGAUUUACAAUAAAGGGCUAAUCCAGAGGGGGAACGGCAUGCUUAGAAGAUGAGGGGAAAAGAUCAGUGUAGCCAAAAUAUUAAGGAUGACCCAGAGAAAGAUGAUAAUGGGUAUUUGAAGGAAACAAGAGUAGUCAAGUCCAAAGGUGGUUCAUUCAUCGGGUCAUCCACUACCUUUAUUGAGUAUGCUAAGUGCUGAAAAUAUUGCAGUGAACAACGCAGAUAUGAUAUGGAUGUACUUCUCCCUUCAUUAUAGUGUGGGAGACAGGGGAGACAAUGAGCAAGAGUCACAAAUUGGAUUAAGGGACAUGAAGGAGAUGUGGGUAUUGAGAGAGAGAGAGAGAGAUCUGUGAAAGUAGUGCUCAAGGGAGACCUCUCUGUGUCAGGAUAGUAAGCUGAGACUAGAAGGGUAAGUAGAGUUUAACCAAGUCAGUACAAGAGGAAGGGGUGAAAAGAGUAUCUCAGGAAGAAGGGGAAGCAAUGACAAGGCUCUGGGGAGAGAGAGUUUGAGGUAUCAUGGAACUGAAAAAAUGGCAGAGUGGUUGGGAUAUCACAAACGAGUUGGGAAAGAGACAUGAGAUGAGGGCUUCUGAUGUGGGACCUAAAAGUUGGACUUCAUUCUAACAGUAAUGAUAGGACAUUGAUAGGUUUCAAACAGAGUAUGAUUAUAUGAUAAGGUUUGUGAUUCUGACCUCUUACUCCCUCCCAUAGGUAGCCAUAAGAAUUGACUGCCUGGGGUUAGAACAAAACCCAGGAGACCUAUUUUCAAGCGAGUGAUGUGGCCCAGGUGAAAGUUGACUAAGACGUGGACCAGGAUGGGAUCACCGGGAAUGAUCCAGAGCGUUGCUUCUCUUUAGUCAGGUUUUGAAACCAGAGUAGCUGGCUCUGAGAGGUCAGUUGCUAGGCUACAUCAAGGUUUCUUCUCUCUUUAGGAUCUUUGCCCUAUGAAAACAACUUUGCUUUAUUCACUUCAAAUUUCUUCAUUUUCUUGCUAUUUGAAAUUUGGAGAAAACCAAUCUAUAGCCAACUCAUCACAGUAUACAGGUGAUUCUUUAGAUUUUUCUCUGGAAUAUCCAUCACCUAAAUAUUUAAUUGCUUGGGUUUUGUCCUCUUUUGAACCUUCUUGUUGAGUGGGAAGAAAACUCCAAAGCCUUAAUCCAAACAUAAGCAUAGUUACUAUUGAGAUUUUUAAUGUACAUGUUAAGUUCUGGAGUUGAGCUGUCCAAUAUGGUAGCCAUUAGCUACAUGUAACUGUUUAAAUAUAAAUAAAUUAAAAUUGAAUAAAUUAAGAAAUUAGUUCCUCUGAUGUACUAGACAUGUUUCAGGUGCUCAAUGUCCACAUAUAACUAGUAGGUAUGUAGUAGACUAUGCAGAUAUAGAGCAUUUCUAGUAUCCCAGAAAGUCCAUAGGGAUAUCACAUAUAUAGAGACUCUUCUGUUUCUUUGCACAUACGAGUUUGUUAGUAUCUGAUUACAAUGAAGAGCUGAGAUUCUUGAAGAAUUUUUUUUUUUGAAAAUUCUUGGUACAUUUAUAAUGGUUGUAUAUUUUUAUGACAAUGGCCUAUUGUUUUGUUAAAUGAUAGUUAAGUUAUGAGUUUAAUAAUACCUUUGAAAGCAAUCUCAUGUAUUUUAUGUCAUUUACAUCAACAACCCUAUAUAUAAAAAGGGUAUUAUUAUCCCUAGUCCACAGAUGAGUAAAUGAUGUUCAGAAUGGCUAAGUGAUUUUGUAGUAAGCUCUGGAACUAACAAUAAUAAUUAAAACAACAAUUAACAUUUAUUUCCAGAUACUGCCUUCAGUAUUUUACAUAUAUAAACUCAUUUAAUCUCCAAAACACCUCUAAAGUAUAACUGUAAGAGAUAAGAAAAAAAUUACUACUAGUUUUUUUUUCAGAUAAGAAAACCAAAACACAGAAAAUCUCUCAUAAAGGAAUUUUUACUUAUAAACUCCAAAUCUCGAUUUUGGGGGAAAACUUGUUUAACUUCUCUGAGCCUCAGUUUCCUUCUUAUACAAGCCAUAUAGCACAACCAAUCUUAUAGAGCAUAUAUAUUAUCAGUUACAUUUUGUUACACUCACACAAAUUCCCCAAAUCUCAACAAUACAGACUGAGAUUUUUUUGUUGUUGUUUCUUUGUCUACUGGUGGCAACAGCUCCAUGUUUUCUCCUGGAGACUAACUUAAAGAAUUCACUCUUCUUGGGGACACAUUUCUGUGGCAGUAGGAAGAAGAGGAAAUGAUAGAAAAAGGCACUGCCUUCUGAAGUUCUGCUUAGAAGUGAUGCAUUACAUUUUGUUCACAGAGAAAGUCAUACAACCAACAUUUUAUCUAUCUAUCUAUCUAUCUAUCUAUCUAUCUAUCUAUCUAUCUAGGAUGAAACCCAGGACCUUGUACAUUCUAGGCAAGCAUUCUACCAACUGAGCUAGAGCCCCAGUUCACUAUGGCCAACUUUGAUGUCAGUGUGUCUUCCUAGAAAAGGAAGUUGCAAGGCAAUGGACUGGGAUGUAUAGAACUUGCAGCAAAAAAGGGAGCUACGCUUGGGAUCAAGAUUGCAAACUGCAACAAUAUUGUCCACAAUAUAGACUAAAUAUGACACGGAAAGCCUUAACUAGGUACUUUACCCUCCCUUUAAUGAUUUCAGGUAAAGCUUAGAGCAUUGACAUAAAGUAUUCUAAAAAAGUCCACAUAUAAUUAUUCUUUUAUUCACAGUUUACAUCAUUAAACAUGUAUUUAAAAAUAUCUUCAAUGAUACAGGAAGACUUAAAACAAAUUUCAAUUGUUUUGUAGUUGUUUUCACUGAUUUAGUGUUAUAUAGUUAAGAGGUUUAGCUUGUGGAGUGUUAUAUUCUAAACUGAUGGUGGCCAAGAGUUAAACAGGUCAGAUAUACAGGCAAAGGGGGGAAAUUAUCCAGUAAUGUUGGAAAAAAACUAAGAAUCCUUUUUUUCUCUUACCAAAAUAAAUAAAGUAAAUAAAGAAAACUUUAGGAUUAGAUAUAAUUUCUAAGCAUUUGACUUACAUUUAUAAAAUGGGUAUGAAAUUAUGAAAUAAGUAAUAAAACUGAGUAGCGAGAAAACUAUCUGGAUGAAUUUCCUAUCCUAUACUUCAUUUUAAAAUUGUUAGCUCUGUGGCUUUAAAUUAGGUUUUGUUGCUAGGGCUUCAAAGAAUGGUUUCAUAUAUAAAGAGGUUAUUUUGCAUACUGUAUAAUAAUGUGGUUCAUGACAAUAUAAAUGUCAUGUGUUACUCAAUGUCAAUAACCAAUUUAUAAUUUUGGGGAAAACACACCAAUCAAAUUUAAUAUAUAAAUAAGUCUUUAGGCCUAAAAUAUAUGCUUUGUAUGAGAAACUCUUUUUCAUCAUUGUUAGGAAAGCGUGCAAUAGAAAAACUAGAACUAUUUGAAAAAAUGAACACAUGUAUUGAUCCAUCAUAAACAAUUUGGGUUUUGUUAGAUAUAUUUAAAUAUUUAUGUUUGUAAUCUUGAGUAUAUUGAUUCUAGAAGAGAGACUAGGUCAGUCGAGGCAGUAACCUGCCAUCUGCAGACAAGUACUUCUUUAUACUUUGUUUUGUCUGAUUACAGAAAGGUUUUAAUUUUAUAAAUGGAGUAUUACUCUGCAUUAAAAAAUGACAAAAUCAUGGAAUUUGCAGGGAAAUGAAUGGCAUUAGAGCAGAUUAUGCUAAGUGAAGCCAGCCAAUCCCUAAAAAACAAAUGCCAAAUGUCUUCUUUGAUAUAAGGAGAGUAACUAAGAACAGAGUAGGGUCGAAGAGCAGGAGAAGAAGAUUAACAUUAAAUAGGGAUGAGAGGUGGGAGAGAGAAGGGAAAUUGCAUGGAAAUGGAAGGAGACCCUCAGGGUUAUACAAAAGUACAUACAAGAGGAAGUGAGGGGAAAGGGAAAAAUAAUACAAGGGGGAGAAAUGAAUGACAGUAGAGGGGGUAGAGAGAGAAGAGGGGAGGGGAGGNAUCUAAAAUCAGUAGAUAUUUGGUGAUGUGUAUAACCAUGCAUUUUGGUAAUUAAAUAAAAAGUAAUUAAUCUCACUUUUUAGUGGGUAUAAACAAAUAAUUUCUACUAUUCUAAUCACUUUGCAUAUUUCUAUGCAAAAAAAUACUUAUCAGUCAAUCCAAGAAUUUCUUAAUCUUAAAUGUUCAGAAAAAACUGGCAAAGGAAUUAUCAUCUUACAAUAAAAACAUGCACAAAAUGAGGAUAUGAUUUGUGUAAAUAUUUCAUCAUUUUCUAUGACUAACCAUAAUUUCUCAUAGCACUUUUUCCCUUCACAGUAAUCCAGUGUUUAUGUAUUUAACAAAGUAAAGCUGAGAGAUUUUGUGUCUCAUAAACUUCUUAGGAGAAUCUCUUGGCAUCGUAAUUUGCCUGUUGACUUUUAGUUCUAAUUGAUUCAUUUAUAUAAAAACAAGAAUGUUAUAACUUGCUGAUGUUUUCCUUUCUUAUUGCUGUACUUUCUUAAAAAUUGGAAUAAAAUAUUUAAGGGUAUUUGUUGUAAGCCUGUCUCUAUAGACAUUUCCCCAAGGCUAUAUACAGUUUUGAAUCAUGGUGAUGAUUUUGAGGAAAAAACUUGCUAAUAUAAAGUGAAAUUAUAAGAUCAGUUAAUGGGCCCUUGUGUGAUGGCAGCAUGGCCUUCUCAAGGCCUUCAGUAGGUCUGUGGAAAAAGCCAACCUACACAAGGUGAAGUGUGUAUUAGUAUCCAUUAUCAAUACACAAUGCAUUUCAAGAUUUUCUCCAUAUAAAAUGAGAGUUGGCAUUAAAAAAUAGUCAUUUCUAAAACUUUUAAGGUGAUUUUUCUGAUUUUGCAGAUUCAUUUUGAUAGGCUAUUUAUAACCCGAGUAUAGUUAUAUAACUCUUUAGCGCUGAGACAAGUGACAGAACAAAGAAAUAUGGUGAGCGAAUCCUCUCACCUGUGAUACCAAGGCAAAAAGUGAAAAUUUUAUGAAGCACCAAUUCAUGACAGAUGAAGCCUUAAUUGUGGUAUAGAUCUCUUGGAGAUCCUUUACAAAAAUACAGAUCUCUCUUCCUUUGCUUUCCACUGCUAUGCAGUAAUCCAUUGCUUUAGACAUCUCUCUCUGCCCGGCCCAUUGUCUUCUUUUACCUUAUCACCAAAACUCAGGCAUGAUGAAGGAAGAGAUGGUUCUAUGGGAAAAGAAAGAAAAAAAAAUUAAGAGAACGACAACAGGACUUUAAAUAUUAAAGAACUUUAAAUGUAUUUAUCUGUCUAAAUCUAUCCAUCUCCAUCCAUCCAUCCAUCCAUCCAUCCUUCUGUCUAAUCUCGAUAUUUAAUCCAUCUACCUCAUCUUUUAAUUCUGCUUCAAUUGGAAUGUUUCUGCCUCCUGUUGAUAGAUAGUGUUACAGGGCUUGUUGUAGCUACCACUUUCCACAUCCUCGUACACAGAAAAAGAGGAGACAGACAUAUCAUAACCAAGCUCAGUGGCAUUGAAUAUUGUUGUUACUGUGAUUUGAUCCUGAAUUGGCUCACCCACCAACCAUCUCUCCACAAUUGUGUGUUAUUUUUUGAAGGUUUCUCAGAAGUGACACUUUAAAUAUAAACAGAAUUGUAAUAAUUUUAAAUAAAUUAUUUAGACAUUUCCAUUCCAGCCAUUUUUAACCCUAAAUUAUUAUUUUGCUAACUUCUCUUUAAAUAUUGAAUGAUUUGACAUCAGUGUGUCCUUAACUAUUCAUUAAGGCCAAAAUUUUUUUCAGAUAUAGAACAGUUAUUUACGUUUUGUAGUUGAUAUUUUCUUAAGAAAGAGCCAAAAUCAAUAUUCAAAACCUUCAUGACACUAGUUUCAUUAAAGUACUAGGUAUAUGGGAAUAAAACCAGGUAAUAUUAUUAGAAAAGGAUCAAAUUGUGACCAUAUUAUAUAAAUACUUUUUAAUCAAUUAAAAAAAAACACUUAAAGGAAAUGUGUACAUAGCUGGGUUAAAAAACUAGUGAUACAAUAACUAAACUGGAGAAAAAAUUAUCACAAUCACAAAAAUGUUUGAUAUGAUAGAAAUCUAACUUUAUAUCAUGAAUAGCAUCCCUCUAAAAGAUUUUCUAAGUAAAAAUUUCUUCAGUCAAUGAAAAUAAUCAUUUUUUCUUUUGGUUUCCUUCAAAAUAAAUAUGAGUGUUCAUCUGAUGCUUGGUGUAUUGAUUAAAAGGCAAAUAAUGCCACCAUUUUUUCUUAUGCAAAAUAUAUUUUUCUCCAUUUUUUUGUUCUGAUUGGACAAAUACAAGGCAUACAUAUUUUUAAGAAUAAAAUUAUAAAGUGUUCUUUAGAAAAACUUAUCAUAUGGUUGAUCACAAUUGUUGCAGAUGCCUCAGUUUCUCACCACUUUUGUCACCAAUUCAGAGACACACAGGGACCUUAAACACCACACAGCAUGGUUCAGAACAAAAUCCAACAGUUCUGAUAGCACAGAACCAGCAAGUGCUUUCCUCUGUUAUUAAAGGAUGUGUUAUCACUUUUUGAAGUUGGUUUUUAGCUAGAAACAGGUAGAAAGUAAUAGACUUCAUAAUAUGAGUUACUAUGUUCAAUUUGAUAAAGAAGUUAAUGCAAACAGGGCUGUUUGAAAUCGUUUUCCUGAAAAAAUGUAAAUUUUCAUUUAAAAUGUAAUGUUUAUUUAAAAACUGUUUAAAAAUUUACUUAAGUAUUUUUCUACCUUUUAAGGAAAAAUAUUUCAAUUCAAAAUUAUAUUUUUAAUAGUCAAUCUUUUUAAAAAAUCAUCGAUUUUAAAUUUCUCGUUUAAAUGGCACUAGUUAAUACUGAGGCUAUUUUUAAAAAUUCGCAUUACUAAACCAAAUUUUUGUAUCUUCAGGGGUCCUCAUUUAAAAAAUUUCUUUGCCAAUAUACCAAAGAAUAAAUUUCGUUACCGAGUUAUUCGGUGUUUUUGAAAUGAUAGCCAUAAUCCCCAGCUUUUGCAGUCUUGGAUAGGAUAACUUGUAGGUCCUGGAAAUUUUUCUCAGGUACAUGUACCACUUCACAGUAUUCCUAGGAAUAAAACUCUUGAAAGACCCAGGAACUUUCAGUGUCAGUUGUGAGCAUUCUAGCAGGCUAUAUUGUAUAAAACAGUCCUUGCAAAUUUAUACUAAAACAGAAAAUUAAAAAAGCAAGCCAAAAUAGUUUGUGUCUGACUAAUUUGUGGCUUAUUAUUAUUAUUUUUAAAAAAGAGCCCUUAAACUAUUUAUUUUUAUCUCAGUGAAACGCAAUCUAACCAGGCCAGUUACUUAUCUCUUUAAAAAGCAAAUCCUUAUGUGACCAUUAACGUAUCACAUUGAAAAAAUUAUGUUUGUUAUCCUAAUUUAAGCACUUCCCAAAUAUUCAGGAUAUAACCGUGCUUUGCAUGUGAAUUCCUAGGUAAUAGUAUAAGAAGUAAAUAUAUUUAGGGGUCAUGACAGUCAAUUUUUGUACCUAAAAUGUAGAUUUAUUAUUGUGAAGCUUAAAUAAAAUGUCCAAGGUUUACAUUUUUACAUGAUUUGUGGAGUUUAUGAUUUUCUUUUGUAUUUAAAUAUAUCAUACUUAUUGUGAAUUUAGUGCCACACACUGUUACUUGUAUGGAAUGCCUGGCUUGUGAUGGAAUGUCAGGAUGAAAUGACGUUGAAAUGAAGGAAACUAUUCCAAAAGAGUGGUAAGAAAGAUUUAGAAUGUUAUGAAUUGCUUUCUGUCUUUGAAGUGUACCACCUUUAAUACAUGUGUUUGUCUUAUAUUGUCUUUCUAGUGUAUCAUACUUUGACUUAGUGGUUACUGCCAAAUCCAUCUCUCUCUCUCUCUUUUUUUUUUUCCUGAAAUGAUUUAGCUGUAAUAAGAAACUUGUUUUCCUUUUCUCCCUUUUACACUUUUCCUUCUUUCUGUACAACUUUGCUUUAUUCUUUAACCCUCCCUCCCCAAAUCCAAAUGAAGUAUCACAAGUUAGACUUCAAAGCAAUUUUUAAAAGUCCAGUCACUCACUUGAAAGAAGGGGUGACUUUCUUCCGUGCUCUAUGUAAUUUUGUGUUCUAAAUAAGAAACUUUAGCAAUUUGAAUUUAUUUUAAAAAUGUGGGUGGAAAAUUGAUUUAAUGUAGUUUAAAAUUAAUGGUGCAUUAGCAUUUCUCUUUAUUCUAGUUUAUCCAGACUGGUUUAAGAGCCUUAUAUAAAACAUGGGUGUUAAGAUCAAAGUUUAUUAUAAACAAAAGCAUUAAAAAUUUUUGGACUUAUUUCAGAAAUCCAACAAGGUUUCUAAGUUUGUUAUCAGGACAUCAUUUUAAAAAUGACUAAUUAUCAUAUAGAGUGAAAUAUGAGAUAACAUGGGUAAACUCUUGGAAAGCACAGUCUGUGUAUACAGUUUAUUGCCCAACUGCCGAGCCAGUAUUAGAAUGCAGGAAGCCAUCAAUACAUGCUUCUGGAAUUGCAUUGAAGUGAGACAGAGCAUGUUAAGCAAGCCAAAUAAUGCAAACAAGUCUCUAUCUCUGCAAAAAUUUUCACAUCUGAAAACUUUUUUUUUAAUAUUAAAGAAGUCUAAGAGAACCAGAACUUUGAAAUUACUUGUCAUUCAUUUUUCAGCAAAAAGUUUCAACUUUUAUUUGGCAAUAUUCAAGAGGCAGAUGGUCAUUAAAAGUUAAUAACUGAAAGAUUACACUUGCCUUGAAAAUAAAGCAGGAGGGUAGUUAACAGGAAUUUGUAUGUUUUCAUCUUUAUUCCUCUUGCCCCAUAUGCAUUUUAAAAAUUUCCUUCAAAAUUUAAUAAGAGAGGGAACAUCUAUUGGAGACAAAACUUACCUCAAGUCAAGGAUAUAUCUAGCUGGUUUGAGACUCAGAUCUAUGAUCCUCACAAUCAAAACAAAGGUAUUAGUUUUGUAUAGUAAUCCAUUAUAAUUUAAUAUUUUCGAAUAGCAAAUCUGUAAACAUUAAUGCCCACGUUUUAGAAAGCAACACUUAAAAUUAUAUUUUUUCUCUGUCAUGACUUAUGCUUUGUUUUUCUUUAGCAUUUUGCAAAAUGCCUUGUACACAGUAAAAUUUAGUAAAUUUGUUGUGCUAAGAAUACAAAUAAUUUGUAUAAGUAAGAAGUUUCUGACAAUUAUUAGACUAUAAAGCUUAAAGGUAGACAUUUCAUAUAUUGUAUGAGUGGAUGUACUUUAAAACAAUAUACAUUUAAAAAUCUGUGAAUCAUUUUUAAAUCUCCAAAAUAAACUCAGGAAAUCCAGCUAGUUUGUUCAGUGUCUUACUCUACAUUAAAAAUAGGUAUUUUUAGGGUGUGUCUCUGUGUGUAUAUGUAUCCAUACAUUUUGCAUCUACACAUAUAGCCAUAUUCUCUUUCUCUUUUAUCUCUCAUACACACACACACACACACACAGAGGAAUAUGAAGGAAAUCACAUUUUCUGAUUCACAUGCUGCUUCCAUGAAUGCUUUGGCGUCUCCAUUUCUGAUUGAUCUCCAAUUGGCUCUGUCUCCCAACACUUGAGCUCUAAGUUUUUCUGCCCCUGUAGCCUCUUUGUCAAGUAGCUAAUGAUCUGUAAACAAACACUUAAAUAGGGAGCUCCCUAUUUACAUGAAGCCAUCUGUGAAUUCCUUUGUGAUGUGAAUAAUCGCAUCCUAAUUUAUCUGUUUUCCCAGUUUCCUGGCUUUCUUAAAGAAAGGCUGUCUGGUGGUAUAAUUUUAAAUUAUGAAAACAACAAAAAGAGAUUGACUCUCAGAUGCUCUUGGUGUUUGAAAAUCUUGGAGAAAAUUCUACAAGGUUGAAAAACAGUUGAUGAAAUAAGAGUAUAUAAUUAAUGAUAGUAUGGUACCCUUAGGAUAGUAAAAAUCAAGGCCAGUGAGAAAAUAAAAAACUGGAAACUACUUAAUGUGCAAUAAUUUAUAGUAAUUUUUAUAACCAUAAUUUGUUAUGAAGAUAUAUUCAAAUGGAUAAUACUCUAUAUUCCUGAGUGAAUAAAAGAGGUAUUUUUUCAGGAAUUUUCUCCCUCAUCUCUUUAUAUAAAUAUGUUUAUCUUUAAAAAUAUUGUGUAGUUGGUUCCUGAAUGCAUGUAUUCAAUGUGAUUUAUUCCACCAUCAAUUAAAAAAAAAAUCUCCAGUCAGGCUUGCAAAAGCUUUGUGAAGACCAAUGGUUAGGGUCACUUUGGCUUAGAAAUGCCUCCAGUGGUUUGUAUGGAAACUAUGAAAGUUAAGCAAUAGAAUAAUUUUAGAUAACAUUUACUAUUUUAUUUAUUUCUUGGUAAUAAAAAUAGCAACCUAAACUUUUCAGGUAGUUAUAACACCCCUCCCCCAAUAUUGCAUUCUUAAAUACUUUAGAUAUAUAGAUAAAAUUAGAGAUUAAAAUUAUUAUAUACAAAAUUCAUGAAGGAAGAGACCACCCUUUAUUUCUUUAAAACAUAAAGAGUUUUAUUUAAGGACUGAGUGAAACUGAAAACCCAAACACACUGGCAAAACACUGUAGUAAAAUUUGGAGGAGAAUAUUGCUGAAUUUUGUUAAAAUGCUAAAUUACUCAUUAAAUAUAAGUGUUACAUUAAUUCUAUAUGGUUUCCAGUUAAAAUUAAUAAUUUAUCUGUGUUUGAAGUUUUUGGAGGGUGGGAGGAUUUCCUGUAUUUCCUUGCCCUUCAAGAGUAAAUAAAUCUUAUUAAUGUUUAAGUAAAUGUCUUAUUUUAUGUGAAUAAAAAUAUGUCAAUUUGUUUUAGAAUAGGUAUUUUGAUACACAAAAGAUCUAUGUCAUUUGAUGUGGCCAGAUGGCUCUGUAUGUGUUAAUUUUUUUUUUUAAAUGAGUACUUUCAUUAAAGGCUUGAACAUGCACUUUAAAAUAAGCUUUCUUAUUUUCUAAGAACACUGUAUAGCUUGUGAAAUAUUUUUGGAAAAAUGGAAUAAUCCUCAAUUUUUAUUUUAUAAAUUAUUAUAAUAUUUUAAAAUGAGAAAUUCCUUUAAUCAACAUUUAAACUAGCAUCUUGUAAUUUUUUUUAUAAUUUGAAAGCUCUCUUAUUUAACAUCACAUAUCCUUCUUAAAAUGGCAUAAAAAUUCUUGAUGUAGAAAAUUAAAGAUGUACUUAAUGUCAAAGCUUUAUUUUAGUGAUCUGUGUUUUUUUCUCAUAUUUUUUGUCUACUCAUAGCUUUUGUGAUCAAGUGCUUACAUUUACAUUUCAGAUAUGAUCUCAGAAAGUUACUCUCCUAUUCUUGUUAUUAUUAUGGUUAUCUAUAAGGAUCUGAUAAAUAGUAUUUGAUUGGGGAUAAUCCACUGUAAUCCCAAUACAAAAAUCAAGGAGGGAAAUGGUCACAGCAAUAAAUUAUUCUUUCAUUCAUUCUUGUUACCCUGAUUCCACCAAUUUUUUUUUCAAAUCCCCUGAUUAAGGUCACUAACCCCCACCUCACCCCAUUAAAAAAAAGUUCUUUAACUAAAAAUACAGGAAAAUAUCAAGUAAACAGAUAAACAAAUUUGAUUUGGUUCUAGAAAUGUAAAUCCAGCUUUUUAGAAAUGUUACAUAGUGGGAUUAUAAAUAUGGUAUGAACUAACUGCUGUCAAUUCUGUGUUAGGAAUCGUGGAGGACCACAAGGCUUAGAAGAUGGCUCAAUAUUCCAACCUUGCAAUUCUCAGAGAAAGUAAUGAGGUGGGCUAUGCUUUACUUUCCUCAUUUCAUUGCAUAAUACAUUUAAUGUUUUCAAAAGUGAAUAUUUAUUUAGGGAUAAAAUAAAGACUGUGCUUCAUAGUUCCAGUUUGCCCGCCCCUCUGUAAAGAAUAGAAUGGUUAUCUAGUAUUAGUGUAGCUAGUUUUAAUUCUAAAAGUCUAUCAAGUUCUUUUAAUAAAUGUUAAUAUAUUUUACAUGAUGUACGGUAUUAAAAAGUCUUCCUUAGAACUUAAAAGGUUUCAGAAAUAAUAACAAGGACAGUGUUGCUGGACAAUCAGUGCUUGCGUAGAACACCAGGGCUUUGCUGGUGAUAAUGCCAGUCCAUGCAGUUUAAAGAUUAAAAGUGAACCCCUUGUUUGUGCUCAGCAUUUUGGUAGUUAAAAGCCUCCUGGUUUUGCAAUUGGUACAGGUCAGAAAGGUAAAUUGAAAUUUCUGCCUGCUCUCCUAUAAACACUUGCUUCUAUUUUCUGUGGAGAGAGACACUUUGGGGACUAAGCUUAUUGUCCCUGUUUCCCAGGUUAGUGUUAUCCUGAUGAACUCUCCCAGGCCACUGCAUGUGAGACCUUCCAUUUGGUAUGUUCUAUUUUAUAGAGACUCUUCAGAAGUUCUGAAGUUCUUGGAUUAAAUUAUAUUUCAUUCAUUAUACCUAACAUAUUUAUUUUUCUCUUGUGAAAAUAAAUGUUUUCACAUUCCAUGUAAUUUCUCAAGUUCAUAAAACACAGGGAGCAAAAUUUCAGUUUUAUGAAAAUAUAGUAUUUCUUAGCAUGAUGCAUGCAUUUUUAGAUCGUAGAACUCUUUGAUGUGUAUGUUAGCAGUGCUUUGAAUUGUUUAAAAAUGCCAUUAUUUAAUAAUAUGAAAUUUUAUUGCUAACAAUGAAAAUUGACUAUGCAAUAUGAUAAUAUUUGUUUCUGAUCCAAUAUACAAAAUGAAAGCUUUGCUUAUUUAUUUGAUUAAAAUGCAAAAGUACAAGUGCAUUCAGGUUUGUGUUGUAUAGAAUAGAACUUAUUUUAUCAGUCACUUUCAUAACCUUUAAAGAGCCUUAAAUAGUACAUAUGAAAAAUACAUUCAUAUCAGGUUCCCCUGGGGGAUUUUUUCUUUGGUUUAAGAAAAUUUUAUUAAAAAUCGGCAUUGCAAAUAACAUUUUUCAUAACUAUAUGUAGACCUGUUAAAAUUUUUAUUAAAACUGGAGUUCGGCCUGUUCUUUUUCAUCAUUCUAUCAGAUAUUAAACUGCCGCAGCAGCUGUAGGAAAUAGAGAAAGGGAUUUUCAAAGGGAUUUGAGUCUCCCUGUCUCUGUGCCUUUAGUGAUCAUAUUAUCAUAACUAUCACACAUAACAAAGCUCUAAAUCUGUAAUUCAGAUAAAGUAGUCAGGACUCUGAAAUACAAAAAUCCAAACAUAUGCCGUAACAUUUUUUUGCAAUGCUGGCUCCUUUAACAUGGAUUUUGUAAACUUGGAGAGGCAUUCAAGAGAUUUUGUAUACGAACACAAACUAAACAACAUUGUUAGGGGUAUGUUUGACAGAGAUUUAAUUAGAGGUGUUUUCGUACAUCUAAGCAGUUCCAUUAAAAGACCAUGCCUGCAUGCUCUAGCAAAUUAUGAUCAAACCUCGAAAGGUUAAUAAGAAUGAAACUAGAAGCUGCUUUGGAAGCAGGCUCUAUACGAAUCUAUGUCUAACUUCAGCAGUCUGAGUCUUUUCUCAAGAGAGCAACAUUCCUUAAAUGCAGUGUUAAAGAUGGUAAGUGUGACCACAUAAUUCUUUUAUGAAUUAAGUAAGUUAAAAAUGAGGGUAAUGAAAUUGUAAAUGGGCUGCAAUCCAAAUAAAAAUGACACAAAAAAGGAGUUAUGCAAUGAGUUUUUUCUUUGCAAUUACAGGACAAAUUUAUAACUUAAUGUCUACAUGAAAAGAAUAUUUGUGCUGUGUAAAGUUUGUAAAACUUGUCAGAAUUUCCAACCAGUUUGUAAAUGAGCAGCUGUAUGUAUAUAUUUAUUGUAACAGUGCCUUCUGCUGGUCACACCUUAUUUAUGGUGCCAGUGAAUAUACUGUAUAGUAAUGAAAACUUAUGUUUAUCCUAAAUUGUUCUUGGGUAUAUUUAUUGCCUUGGCAGAAGUAUUUCUGUGAAUUACAACUUACAAGCAUAAAAAUUAUAGUGUGUUAGGGAUUAACACAUUUUCUUUCUGUUAUACUUCAGCAGAAACAACCUUUUAAAUAGUUUCUCCUAGAAAGAACAGUAUUUCCUACUAAUGCAUCUUAAAAUGUGGAAUAUUUCCACCUGUUUAUUUUUAUUGUCUUUCCAAUUUUGAGUAGAGCUGUACUUUCUGACAUUUUUCUUUUUAGCUUUUCAGUCAUGCUCUAAUUAAGCCUUAUAGAACUCUUAUGUUGUAUCAAUAUCUAUAAUAUCUGAGAAUCAUGAAAUUUACUUGUAAAUUGAGAAAUGCAGCAGAAUUCAAAAUGUAACUUAACUGACUGAAAAUAUUUAAUAUUCUUCUAAAUAUGAAGGCAUAACAAAGAUGGUUGAUUUUUACUUCAUUUUGAAAAAAAUCAGAAUGCACAUAUAAUCAUGAAAAGUAUUUUUCAUCAAAAUAUUGCAUGUGGUGUGACCCUCAGUAUAUCCUAAGUAUAUAAUAAAGUUGUUUACUUACUUAUAAAUUCGCUCCACGAACCCCCAUUAUUUCAAUUUUAAUUUUAAAUAAUACUUAGCAAAGAAUUUGUGCAUAGAUAAUUUUAGAAUAAUUGUUUUUCUAUUUAAAAUGCUCCAAUUAAUUUUAUGUAGGUAUGGUUUACAUUGAAUGAGUUAUCUUGCUAAAAUAGCCUUCAUAAGAAAUUCUGAACAUGGCAUUUGAUUAUCUACAGUAAAAUUAAAAUCUGUGCUACAAAAUAUUUUACUUUUCCUUCUUAAAUCAUUAAAUCCUGAUUUUAUUGCCUAAAGCAACACUAAAAAAACUUUAUUAUGCACAAAUUAAAAACCUGGAUAUAUUUGAUAAGAAGUCAUUCUAUUUAAUUAGAAAGAAUUAUUCAAUGGGGCCAAUUCUGUUUAUGUUGGAACUAAUGUAAAUCAGGAAGAGUCCUCACUAUUCCCUAUAUCACAAGUCAUUGCACAUGAGCGCUUUCUAGUGCUUCCUAGACUAAAAUCAGAGAACCUCUCUGAAAAAUAUAUCUCACUAGCAGCAAAUUGUUAGGGUAUUUAAUUCAAAGUUGGAAUAACUCACAUGACCAUAAUAGGCAGUGAAGAAAACACCAAAUUUUUAUUUCUCCCACAAUUUUUAUUUUCAAUCAUUGUUUUUAGGAAUGAAUUGCUUUCAUUAUAAUUAUAUCAACAUGCUUGAAAAAAGGGUAAUGAUGAGAAACACAGAUACAAUAUUUUCUGAAUUGUGUUUUAGUGAAAUAUUAAUCAAUGCUGAAAGGGGUAUUUUUCUUUUUAAUGGGGAAAAAAGCUAGGAAAAGUGGUUUAAGAUAAAAGGGCAUGAUUUCUGACUUAUAGACCAACAUCUUCUCUUCAUGUGUGAAGAACUCCCGCUAUUGCUUUAAAAUGAUGACAUCUGUUUUGUUUACCAUGUGGCAUCCAUAACAAGGAUAGAGGUGUUCCUAGUUAAAUUUUGCUAUUUGGAACAAGUAUAUAUGUAUAUGUAUAUAUAUAUAUAUAUAUAUAUAUAUAUAUAUAUAUAUAUAUAUAUAUAUAUAUAUCUUCACAAACAAGUAUCUACUUGCUAUUUAUCCAUAUGUGACUAUUUCCAUAUUAUAUGUGUACAUUUACACUUGCAUAGAUGCAUCUAUGAAUAAUGAACUGUGGAAAUGUGUGCACAAGGACAUAGAAAGAGACAAUACAUGACAGUGGGCAGUUAAUGCACUUUCAUUUCCAUGAGUUAGGGAUAAUUGCAUAAUUCAUGAAUGGCAGAGAAAAGUCACAAGUGCGAAUUGCAUACAGGCAACUUAAUAUAUGUUUAAUAGUGUUACUCCCAUGCCAGUUAAAGAUGUGUUUAAAUUGCAUCAUUUUUGUUUCAAAUUAAAUCAUUUUAAGUGGCAUAUCAAUAGGAAUAAGAAAUCUCAAAACAAUGUGAUUUUUUAUUAUAUGGGUAGAAUAUUUAUCAUCUGUACAUUCUGUUUUUCCUUAAUUUGUCAGUAAAAUGAGUUUUCAUAUCUAUGUUAACUAUUAUUCAUUAAUCUUUUUUUCAGGGUAUUAAUAUAAAGAAACCUAUUCUCUUUUUUUUGAAGUUAUCUCAUACCAUCAUUUAAGCUGUUGAAUCCAUUAAAGAUAUACCGAUCAUAUUUAUUCCAUGUUUAGCAUAAAUGUUGUAAUAAGGGUCUGUAUUCCAUACAGAAAGUGAUCUUUGGUCAGAACUUUGGAAUUCUCAGUAGUUUCUCGAGAACUGUAAUAAAUAUAAUUCCCUAUGCAUUUAUUUUUCUUGGUUGGUAGAUUUAAACGAUAGUACUUGGUAAUUAAAUAUUCAUUGAGAGAUAUUUUCUAAUAUUAUUUAAACAAUACAGAUUGAUGAUGUGGCAAAGAUGCUCAAUGAGAAGGCAAUGGAUCAGCAAUUUUAAAAGGUUUCUAAUACAAAAUACUGGCUUGUCCAGUAACAACAACGCAGCAUUGUUAUGGGGGACAGGUCCUCAUGUAUACACUUCUACAGACAGUACAUAAAUACUAAAUCCAUGUGCUAGUAGAUAGACCUGAAAUUCUCCUUUGAAAGUUAUAAAUUUUCAUAAUGACCCUGAUGAGUCAAAUUUAGCAUGUUUUAUAAUUAAACUCCUAUGCCCUGCUCCCCUAACCCCUUGUCUUAGCAACUUCAUGAACAGAAGUCUGUGUAGUUUUUAACAUCACUGCCCCCUGCUCCUACUGAGCACCGUUCCAUGUAUUCCUGGGAGGAAGUGGGAGACAUUUGCUUUACAGGUACCUGAUAUUUCAAAAACAAAGACAUUCAGUAUUUAAUUGGAAAUCACUGGAUACUGGUUUUUUAAGAUCCAUGAUUCUUCAUGAAAUAUUUUAAAAAAUCACAUGAGAUUCAAAUGUAUAUGAACUUUAUUAUAUAAUUGUGAAAUGUAUGCAUAUAAAGUAUUGUAGAAAGAAUAGUAUUUUAAAUACCAUGAACACAACACUGUGCCAUUCAUACACUAGAGCACAGCAUUUCUGUCUCUAUCAUUAAAAUGUCUACAAUUUGUCAACAUUGUACAGCAUACUUUUCCCCUUCUAUUAACUAGAACAGACUAAUUGCACAUUUUCAGGGUGGUGAUUGGAGAUUCCAUAGGCAAUACUAUGAUAGUCAUUCUCGGGCAUCAGACAGGUAUUUAACAGUUUGGUUCAGGUUGUCUAGGACAACAAAAAUGUUGUUAUGCUGCAUCUCCAAGCCGCUGGGAUGAAAUCAGUUGUGACAAAGCAGUGAAGAUUAAAUUUGUAACAGAUACAACACCUUUGAAGUACUAGCUUAUGAUUUCACAGUGGCAUUAUGAGUCUUACUGCAGUAUUUAAGCUGUCCAAAAGAAUGCUGGUUAUUGGCAGUUGAAUUUUGUAAAAUAGGAUUUUAUUGUCUUUUAAAUAACCAUGGCAGCAGUUUGUAUUAUCCUAGUACUACAUUUUAUUGCCAUGUAUUAGAGUUGGUGAAUAUUUUUUCACACUCCUUUUCCAGGUAAAUUAUCUGUUAGGCCGUAUGUUACUUAAAUAGAGGAAUAAAUAAAUAUUUCUAGAUGUCAACAUAUGGAAUGUGUAUUUUUAAAUUUACUGUUCUCUAGAAGACCAAAUGAAGAGACUCUGUACUUUAUUUCUUCUAUAUAAGAUUUUGGUGAACAGAUAGCAACAUAUUUCAGGCUUCAUAGAAUAAUAUGUAUAAGGUAACUUAAGCUAUAUAAUACCAUAAGGCUGAACUGUUCCCUUAAUAAUCUUGAAAGUGCAGCAUUAGCAAUACAUAAAGCAAUUAUGCUUUGUUACUAAAUCUGAUCACAUCUAAAUUUCCUGUCUUAUCAUAUGUCAGAAGGAGUCUGGCUCCUAAAAAUAAUGUCUCAAAAUCUUCAGGUAUGCAAUAAACUGCCUCUUGAUGGGGAAUGUGAUCUCCACAGAUGUUUUAUUAGGCAAGCAUCUAAAGUUCAGGCAUACAAAUUUGAAUACCAAAAUUUCGUGUAAGCUACUUAAUAUUAAACUGGUGUAAUACCACUUGGUUUUAAUGACUAUGUAGGCUUCAAUGGGUUAACUUUGCAUGAGGGUCAGGUUUUAUAUGUUUGUAUUUUCUUAGCCUUGGUCAGGAGAAGUGGCUUUGCUUGCCCUUGUGUGGUGCCGGAGUGGUAGGGUUUCACUCCGUUUGAAAACCUAGCACAUCCCAAGAGGUUACCUUGGUGUAGAUUUCUUUCUUUCUGUAUUAAAUCGCUCAUUGUCGCAAAGUGACUAGUGCUGCUGCGCUUUGAAAAGAACUUCUAAGAGGUUAAAAAAAGCUUCUGUAUGAAAGGAUUUUUUACUCCUGUGGACAGAAUACAGUUUGCAGCUGUUUGGCUUGCGACAGUGAUAUAGAUCUGAUUGUAUACAGUAUAGCAGGAGCCGUGGAUGCAGCUGGAAGAGAGGGUUAUAAAUUUUAAAAGCGAUGCAGAUUUUUGCCAUUAAUUGGCUGCUAAUAAAAGCAAACUCAAUGGCUUCUAACUGUGGGAGCCUGUGGCUCUGUAUCUGAUAUCAGGAAUUCAUACACAUUACACAGUUUUAGGGAUUCAGACCACGACUAAUUGAAAUAUGAGGCAUACUGAUCAAAUUUAGUAUUACCAGCAUGCACUAUGGUUUGGGACUGUAUGGCGACAAGGUAGCAUUUAUUACUUAUUCUCCAUAACACUGCUUGAUUGAAAUAUCUAGCUAUGUUGUCAGCAGAGGCCCAGCUGGGCUUUAGUACAGCUAAUUAAGUCAUUAAAAGAGAGGUCAAGCAAUCUAAUUCUUGCAUACUAAAGUACAAAAAAGUCUUUUAUUAUAUUUUUUAAUAAGUUAAGAUUUGAAUUUUUAAAGAAAUUUCUUUUUAAUAAUAAAUGCAUUUACUGGUUUAUUUAUUGAAGUCUUAAUUUAAAUAUAUAGAGGUAAGAAAUUAUGAACAUGUCAAUACCCAAUUUCCAAAGCAGUUUAUAUGGUUAUGUUCUUUAAUAAGGAUGUUGUACCUGUGAUUUUUGAAAGUUGUUCAUUAAAUUGAAUACUGAUGUAAGGGGUGUAGCUUCCGAUACUUUUCUACUGAUUAUUUCAGUAUGGUGGUCUUUUCUUUUUUAGGAAGAAAAUUCAAAGAUAUUUACUGAUGAAUAUAUUAUGUAUCCCAUAAAUUAAAGCAAAUAUAGACUAUGACAUGGCUUGAUCUGAGGCUUUUUGGAUAAAAGUAUGAGGUUCUAAUUGUUUACUCUUUUGUAAUUCAUCAAAUGCAUCUCAAAUCCCCUUUUCCUUUAUUGAAGAACAUAGGAGCUUGUUUGUGUCAAAUUAGGCAGUGGGACAUGAAAACAAUGAAUUUGGACACGUGUUAACACUCUCAAAAUAUUUUUUUACUGCAGACAAAUACCAAACGCACUACUUAUUUCAUGGUUUUAGAAUAACACAGUUUAAAAGAUGACUCUUUUGCUUACCCUUAUUAUUUUAAUAUGUAUGAACGUUCAAUUACAUUUUCCCAUAGUAGAUUCCUAAGGUAAACACUGAACAUAGUAGAUGUUUCAGAAAUGAUUAACUAACAUGUGAAUGAAUAUCUUGAAUGCAAGGUAUCAUUUUUCUCAAUAGUUUGGAUAAGUUUAUAGCUUUUAUUUUUUGUCUGUUAUUCACUUUUCACAUUAACCCUCAGUCAGCCAUAGUGUCUAAAGCUAGGUUAGAAGAUAGAACAUGAAGCUCAAAUCUAUUCAUUUUGUUAUUAUAUAUGAAUUGAUCUAGGAAAAUGUUUGGGGAAGAAAAGUAUUUAAAUUAUACCUUCAAUUAAGAUAGCAAUGGAAUGAAUUUCUGCUUGCUAUUCUUGUUCCUCUUUUAGUAUUCAUCACUAAUAAUUAGUAGAGUUAGUAGAUGGCAUUGAUUUUUGACUUACAUUUUAUAGUAUUAAUUAUAUUGUUAAGAAAACUCAAAAAUCAAGUAAGUAGUAAGAGAAGAGUGAAUGGAGAAGCUUAAGAAGUAUGAACAAAAUGAUACAAAAUAGUUCAAAUUACAAGUGUUGUCUUUGUUAGAAAUGGUUUGAAAUAUCCAAUGAGCUGUGCUUUGAAAAAAUCCUAGAAGAGAACUAUAAAGAGAUGUAGAUCUUAUUCCAGAUUUCCUAUCUGUCGAGGAUCUGCUUUCAGCAUGCGAUUGAGAUGGAACAACUGUUACUAAUUUUUACACUUUUAUUAGAGUAGAGCAAGUGGUUCUAAAUAAGCUACUGCUAUUUGGACAGGAACUGUACAUUUUCAAGUACAAUGCACACUGACAUCAAAAUAAUAUAAUAGCUUCUCAGAUAUUGAGAAACUUUGGACCUAUCAUUAUAGCUAGUUAUUCUGUAUUAUUCCUUAAAAGCCCUUGAAAUUUAUCAAAUGCCAAGUAAAACUGUACGUAUAAUAAUUUGUAAAUUUAUUUGUCUCUGAUGCAGCACUCCUCGCUAUGGGAAAGUCAUUGUUAUUCAUAUCUAGUAGAAAGCCUUAUGCAAUCUGACACUGAUUAGACAUUGGAGCACCUACUAUCUGAUAUAAAAUAUAGGAAGCUCUGCAUUCAUAAAUGAAGACAUGAAAACAGUCCUUCCCAUGACCACUGUGUAACUUCUGUUCAGGGGGAUUCUUGUGGUGAACAUGCUAAAAACGAUUUUGUCUGUUUCAUUCCUGCUUAUUCAGUCCAUGUCCCAUGUCUUCUUCUCUAGAAUAGAGUAAAACCAUGCUUUGCUUAGAAUCAUAUUCACAGACAGAGGAAUAGUUUAUUUUGUUCCGUAGCUGAUAUCAGAAAUUGAUGCUUUGUACCGAAAAAUCAUUUUCAAACCCUUGAAAAAGUAAUCUUCAGAGCAGGCUGUUAGUAAUAAUAAGUCUGAUAGGAGACAUUUGAGAGACACACUUAAUUAGACACAUGAUAAUUAAACCAAAGUAUGAUAAUAUUCCUUGUAGGAUAACUCUCACUGUGUUCAGUUAAAAGAAGACCCUGCAGUCAGAGUGACAGACAAAUUCCUUUCUGCCUCUUCCAGAUGGGUUCUCUCAUCUCUACAGGUCUGCAGACCUGUAUUGAUAGAGAUCUUUCUGACAGCCUGUCUCCCCAGCUGCUACUUACCAGGUAUCAGUGGAUAAGGAUUCACGCUAGUAGGGGACCUAGCAUUACCAAUCUUUAUGGGUGAAUUAGAAUUCAAAUGAAGAUUUCACCUGUUCCUAAAAAUCUGUUCAAAAGCUUUAUUGUCAACAUCAUUUAAAAUGGGACUCCAAUAUCAGGUAUAUAUUUUUAAGAAGUUUCUGUCUCUUCUAGGCAAAACAUAUUUUGUAGUUUUAUCUGAAAACUUCAAAACAUAGUAGUUUUUUUUUUUAAAGUUAUCUAUUUAAAACAAGUACUUCAUUUUUCCCAUUUUUUUUAAGUUAUCUAUUUAAAACAAGUACUUCAUUUUUCCCGGAUCAGAAAGUUUAGAAUUUCAGAGCUUGCAUUUAUUUUUAGGACCAUGGGUGUGGAAUAUGACUGAAGACCAAAAGUCUGGUCUCGAAAGAAUUCUAGCUCAAUUUUAAAAUCAGAAGUUAUGGAAGGUUUUGGGUAAGCCUGUGAAUCUCUGGGCACCUGUCCAAAAUGAACCUCUAAGUCUUUUGAAGUCUACCCAUCACUAAUAUACACAGUGCAGUCUAAUCCAACUGUCUGCCCCUUUUCCUGUUUCUCUUUCUUUUUCUUCAAUCUGUCCUGAGGUACCAAUAGCUACUUACUGUGAGAGAUGUUUAGUAGAAUGAAUUUUUCCUCUUGGAAGUGUUCCCACACAGUGAACCUAGGGUUCUAUUUAAGGGAGGAGGUGGUGAGGAGAACAGGUAAUUCUUCAGUCAUUUGUCCUUUUGGUUGACACACAUUUACAUAAUAAUAAUUCCUACUUAACUUUCAAAUUACAAACUAUUUUAGUUAAUAGCAGUAACAAUAAUAUCUUUGCAAGAUUUGUUUUCUGUUUCAACAAAAGAUCAUACAAUUUUAAAGAGCAUGAUUCACAGAUGAAAGUAAACAAAAUAUAAUUAGAAAAUCAAAUUAAUUAACACCUUUUAAUACCACAAGGCAUGAUAUUAUAUUCUAUUAAAGUUUUGAGUGGGUUAAGUCAACGGAAUUAAAUUAAUUUCUUUUUUUUAACAUUUUACAGUUAAUAGUUUGAUUGGAAACUUUAUUAUUUUAAUACAUAUUUUUUCCCAAAUUAUUUCUCUUUAAAAUAAAUUUUAGCUAGGGUUGUGUUUGAGCUUAAAAUUGAAAUUGAAGCAAAGUAAAAUCUGGGCCUAGUUUUUAAGAUAUCUUUGUGAAAAACACAAAAAUCUUCAAAUUGUUGUUAGAAGAGAUUUCAACUAAGUAAAAUACUUAAAAUAGCUAUCUUUUAAGAAUCUUUCCUUUCUUGGUCAUCUUCUGCUCAUAAUUGGAUAUUCAUUUUUUUUUUUAAUUCAUUCUAUGGAGCUGUUUCUGAAACGGAAAUUCUUUAAAUAUUUCUAAGCCUAUCUUCCAAAAACAGUAGCAGAGUCCAUUUCAAGAAUUUUAUGUUGUUAUCCCAGAACCGCAUACAAGUUAACUCAAAACACAGGGCAGGAGGGGGGAAGCCAGUUCCCUCUCUGCUCUGACCUAUGUAAUAAAGCCCCAUUUUAUGUAAAUAAAAGACUUGACAAGCUGAAGGGAAGAGAGACCAGGACUAGAAAAGAGACUGCAGUUCAGGUAAAGAAAGUACUAGCCUUUUUUUCCCCCCUCUAUUUAUAGUAUACUUCUUUUUUUGCCUCUUAUAAUUAAAAUUACCAAAGCAUUGAGCAGGUCCAUACCACGGCCUGUGAGUUGCUGUCGAUAGAAAAACUCAACACAAAAUUCAGUGUCACUUAGGAAUCUAGUGUCUUAUCCCAGUCCUGCCCUAUAAUGUUAGACAAGUUCCUAAACAUAUAUAUAUAAUAAUAACUAAGAUACCUUUUGGGUUUGUUUGGAGAAUGAGAUGGGACCAUGUCUGUUCGGGAACUUAAAUAUUCAAUUUAAUUCAAAAUUCUAGUAAGGGUUUGUGAAAAGAUUACAAGCUGAUCCUGAAAUUCAUAUGGGAGAGAAAAGAACAAAAAAUAACCAAAACAAUUUCUAAAGAAGAAGAAUAAGGAAGGCAUGGUGCCAAAAGUCUAUAGUGACCAAGAUGAAGUGUUUCUGAAAUGGGGGAUGGAUGGAUACACCAGAAGGGAGACCCCAGACAGACCCUUCAUAAAUGGAGACUUGGAAUAGAGCAGACCUAUUCCAAGGGUGAUAAACUAUUCAAUAGAAUGGUACUAGGAUAAGUAGUUUAUGCAUAUGAGAAAAAGCCCAUAUAAUUCUAGCUGAGUUAAGUAUCAAUAUGAAAAGCAGAAGUUUGCAUCUUUCAGAGAAAGUGUCGGAGAAAAUAAAAAUUUGAUGAAGAAGAGUAUUUCUUAAGCUCAAAAAGCAUGUAUCAAAAAGAAAAAGGCUUGAUAUGAUUGCAUUAAGAUAAUAUAAUUUUAAUGUAUUAAAGGAUUCUAUGAAAACAGUAAAAAUUAAAGAUUCUUCCAGAUACUUGAGAUGUAUAAGUAAUCAAAGAAUUAAUAUUUAAUAUAUAAAGAAUUUUGGUAAAAAAACACACAACCCAAUUGAAAAUUAGAUAAAGAAAAUUAUGUGAAGAUAUGAACAAGGACUUCACAGAAGAGGCAGGCUAAUAUAGCAAAACAAAACAAAUAAAGACACAGACAAAAUAUGUGUAGAACCAUGAAAUGUGGAUUAAACAAUGAGAUAUUAUUUCACAUCUAUUGGGUUGGCAGAAAUUUCAAAAGUCUGGAGAAUAUCAAGUGUGAGGAUGUGGCACAGUAGAAACAUUUAUGUACUGCUGAUGUGAAUGUAAUUUGGUGCAAUAACCUUAGAGAAUAUUUUGGCAUUCUAGAAAAGAAGAGAGUGCACCUACUCUAAAAAUGCAUUUAGGGAAAUGUUAGAAAAUGGAGACAGUGAUUAGAAGAUCAGCCACAUUCUCUGCUCUGGCUUUUAUAUAAAAGGCAAAAUACAAAGAUAUUUAUUCCAGUAGGAACAAAUGGAACAAUGUCAAUAUUCAUCAUUGAUCAUUGGCUAAACAAAUGUGGUGAAAUCAUAAAACAGACACUUAUAAACUAAGCCAGACAAGUUAAUUAGAAAUCUAGAAAAUCUAAUAAAUGAAAAUAUAGUUGGCAUAAUCAUAAAACUUUCUUUAAAAUUAAAUAAAAUAUUUUAUAAAAUAUUUUUAUAAAAAUAAAAAUAUGAUGUUUUAUAAUGUUCAAAAAAACCCAAACAUUAUAUAUGGUUUAUAGGUAAAUAUUUACAUAACAAAAGCCAGGAAUAUGAAAUACAUGUGCUAAUUUCAGGAUACUGAUUAACUCUGUAGAGGAAGGAAGGGAGAGAAAUGUGAUCUCAGGUUGGUUUAAAGGGCCUUCAACUCUAAUAUUUCUCUUUAAAAAUGCAAAGUAUUAACAUGUUAAGAAUUCUUUUUUAAGCUUUUAACCAAGUAACAUUUGUAUAUAUUUAUGGGGUACAGUACAGUGAUUUUAUAAAUGUAUACAAUAUUAAUAAAAAUCAGGGUAACAUUUCCAUCUCCUUAUCAUUUCUAUGUGUUGGGAAUCUUUGGAAUUUUCUAGAUAUUUUGAAAUAUAUCAUAAAUUGCUGUAAGCUGUAAUGUCCCUACUAUGCUAUAGAAUUAGUUCUUCAUGUCUACCCAUGUUUUGGUACCCCUUAACUAACCUCUAUUCUGCUCUUUCCCUCUUCUUACCACUGUCUUAUGACCUCUGUUUCUCUCUCUUCUGUGAAAUUGACUUUUUUUAGCUUCCCCAAAUGAGUGAGAACACGUGGUAUCUAUCUUUCUGCGUGUGGCUUAUUUCGCAUAUCGUGGAAUCCUACACUUCAAUUCACAUUGCCACAAAAGACAGAAGUUCAUUCUUUUUUAUGGAUGAAUAUUAUUCAAUUGUGCAUAUAAGCCACAUUUUAAAAUAAUCUGUUCAUAAACAUCUUGCUUGGUUCCAUUUCUUGGUUAUAGUAAAUAGUUCCAUAAUAAGCAUGGGAAUACAAGUAUUUAAAAAAAAUAAUGAUUUCAUUUUCUUCAGAUAUAUGCCUUAUAGUGCGAUGAAUGGAUCAUAUGGUAGGUCUAUUUGUAGUUUUUUUGAGGAACAUUCAUAUACUGUUAUUAAUACUGGAUGUACUAAUUUACAUUUCCACCAACUAUGCAAAGAAUUAGAGUUCCCCUUUCUCUGCAUCACCAACAUUUAUUUCUCCUCCUCCUCUUCCUUUUUCCCUCCUCUGCCUCCUCUUCCUUCUCCUUCUCUUUCUCCUUUUGCUUUUUCCUCUUCCUCCUCCUCUUCUUCUUUUUCUUCUCUUCUGAGGAUUGAGUUAUACUCCUAGUCCCCCGACUUUGAGUACCAAAGAAGGACACUCAACCACUGAGCCACAUCCCCAGCCCUAUUUUUUGUAAUUUUACUUAGAGACAGAUUCUCACUGAAUUGCUUAACACCUCACUUGUUGCUGAGACUGACUUUGAACUUGAGAUCCUCCUGCCUCAGCCUCCAGAGCCACUGGGAUUAUAGGCGUGCACUGCCGCACUGGUCAUCCCUAACCCUUAUUAUUUGUUUUUCAUUUAUUUAGAGACAGGCUUUUACUUAGUUGCUUAGGCUGUUCUAGAACUUUUGAUUCUCCUGCCUCAGCUUCUGAAGUAGCUGGGAUUACAGGUAUGCACAACUGUAUCCCAGCACUUACUUUGCAUCUUUUUGAUUCUAAUAUUUCAUUGUGGUUUGGAUUUGUAUUUCCCUAACGAUCAUAUACUUGUUGGCCAUUUGUGUGUCUUCCUUUGAAAAAUGUUUCUUUAAGUCUUUUGUCCGUUUUAAAAUCUGAUUAUUGAUAUUAUUGCUGUUGAGAUCCUUGUAUGUUCUGGAUAAUAGUCCCUCAUUGGAUGAAUGGUUUGCAAAUAUUUACUUUAUUUCUGUAGAUUUUCUCUUUACGAGGAGACAUUUUGAAAAAUUUUUAAAGCUGGUUAUAUUCUGUGAACUUUUUUUUUUGGCUUAAAAUGUUUAAGUAUUCAAGUUAUUUUUAUGUUUAUGAAAAAUCAUCACUAAAAAUGCAAUAUAUAAAGUCACAGCCACAUGAAUUUGAGAUUAUGACAGUGUAGAAGCUUGGUAGAAUAGCCCUGCAGGGGUGAAAUCAGACUCAAAGGAGGUGACUCUGACUGACUGGGCUGAAGCUUCUGAGUCGAAACCAUAAGGCCAGACUGGGAGUAUGGGAAUACCACAAACUGGAGCCACCUGCUGUCCCUGGAGUCCCCAGUCACGGCCAGGUUGAAGCAGCCACUGCUGAGGUCCUGCUAGAGAGGCAAGAGGACUCAGUCCCUUCUCAGUCACCAGCCUUCCAGCCUCCCUCUGGUGCCCCCUAAUGUCAGAGUUCAGCAGGGAGCAGCAGGCAAGGCAGAAAAAGUCUGCAGAGAUCUAGCCCCAGAAUAACAGAUCAGAUUAUAGCAGGGUGGUUUUAAAGUUGAGACAAAUCACAUACUAACAAGCAUAUUUCUCAAUCACUUCAUAGAACAUCCUGUCUUCAUCCCACCCUCCAUAAUACCACUUCAUAAUGGUAAAGAGCAGAUGCUGCUUUUUCUUUACCUCCCCUUCUCUGCAGCCUUGGGGAAAAAGUCAGAUAGAUAGAUUUAUCGACUUAUUUAUUUAUUUAUACCAGAGAUUGAACUCAGUGAUGCUUAAUCACUGAGCCACAACCCCAGCCCUUUUCUUGUAUUUUAUUCAGAGACAAGGUCUCACUGAGUUGCUUAGGACCUUGCUAACUUGCUGAGGCUGGCUUUGAACUCACGAUUCUCCUGAGCCGCUGGGAUAGUCAACAUUUUUCUAGCCUCUCCAUACUUCCUCCUUGUAGACAGUUCCACCUCCAAUCUCAAGCAAACCCGUGUCCUUUAGUAAAUUUCCCUGUGUUUGUCUCUUCUACCACACAAACACAUUGACAGGUGACUCAGCUUUCCUCUGCCCCUCGACGCUCAUUGGGAUCUUGAGGAAUAACAGCAUCUAUGUGAAAACUCAAGAGAGACCAAUUGCUGAGCUAGCUCUUCUACCUCAUGGACGUUAAUACCUCCAACUUGACUCCACAGAAGCAGCCCAGCCCCGUGGUGGUCUCACCUUUGAUUUUGAUUCCUUGAGCAUGCUCUCAUGGUCAAGUCUUCACCUCUGUACUUUUUUAGAAUAACCAUUUGGCCUUCCAUCUCUCCCAAAUUCUUCCUUUUUUUUUUUUUUUUUUUGCUUGUUCAAGAAAUCACUACUAUCUUCACCUUAACUCUUCUUUUUCUCCAUGUCUAUCAGUGCUCCUGGAUCUGUCACUUGCCUUAGGUGCCUUUGACCCAACUCUCCUCUCUUAACCAGACUUACUCUCUCAUGGCAGAUUCUUCCAGAUUGCUGACUUUUCUACCAAGAUUCUUGAAAUUAUGGCCUGCCCCUGCUCUCUCCAAGGUCUUCAUCUCUACCCACUUUGUCUACCAGUUACUUUGCUGAAUCCCUCUGUUUUAAGGUUAAAGGAGAUAUUAUAAUUUUAGAAUCAGUAUUUUCAAUCUUUAUCACAUUGGUCUUGUAACAUAUUGAACAUUAUUAAAUUUUCUCUUCUCCCCACAUGGGGUUCCUGGGGUAUUAUUUCCUUCAGAUCUUCUUCCUACAGUCUGCUCUUCCUUCUCAGUGCGUUUUUCCAAGUCUUUAUUUCUCAACUUUUACCUUAAAUAUUGGCACUUUUAUGCCCCUUUCUCAUUUUAUAAGCAUUCCUACUGAGGAACUUUUCAUUCCUGUAGUUUUUGUGACCACAAACAUGCACUUGAUGCAGUAUCUAUGCCUCUUGGCUCUAUCUUUUCAUGUUCAUGUUCCUACUAAUACCUUAAAACAGGGCAUCUUUUCAUCUCUCCCUCACCUGUCCCACCUGGUCAGUCAUUGCUGUCCACGCAGUGUCUUAAGCCAGGAACAUGGAUGGUGUGUUCAAUCUUGGCCUUCCCUGUUUUUCAAUCCACAUAUUUAAAUCAUACUAAGCCUUAAAGAAUCUGGUUUCUGAAAACCUUUCAAAUAAACCCUUUUCUCUAACACCACUGGCCUUUCCUUCAGUUUGGACACUCACCCAAACUAUGGCAAGUGCCUCUGGUCAUCUCCCUCCCUCGCUCCUUGUUUUCCUGAAGUCCAUCUUCCACACCACCAUGAAAGUGACACUUUCAAACACAGAGUUAAAUCUUCUUGCCUUCAUAGCUGACGUCUUCUUACAGUUGUUCAUUGUUUACAGGUGAAUAUCUACUUUCUCUGCAGGGUGUACAGGUCUCUUUGAAGUGUGACUCCUACCUCAUCUGCCUCCCCCUCCCUACAAACAAGGUAUUUUAGUCAACUUUUUCAUCACUGUGACCAAAAGACUUGAAAAGAACAACUUAAGAGUUUAUUCCUCACUUAUGGUUCCAGAGAGAUCCGUCUUAGAAGGCCAACUCCAUAGCUCUGAGCCCCAGGUAAGGCAGACCAUCAUGGGAGAAGAGUGUGGUGAAGGAAAGCAGCUCAGGACGUGGCAAUCAGUAGGCAGAGAAGCUCUCUUCCCUGAGGACAGAAUGUAACCUCGAAAGGCACGUUCCCAGUGACCUACCUCUCCCAGCCAUUCCCUACUCGUCUACAGGUACCACCCAGUUAAUCCAUUAUCAGCGGAUUAAUUUAUCGAUUAGGUCAUAACUCUUGGAAUCUAAUCAUUUCACCUCUGAACAUUCUUGCAUUGUCUCAAACAUAAGUUUUUUUGGGGACGCCUCAUAUCUAAACCAUAACACAAGGUCCUCAUGACUGCUAAUCUGAACCUGCUAGUCUUAAACUGACUCUGCCUCUUUACCUUUCUCCCUAUUUGCCCACCAUUUCCCCAUCUGGAGUAACUCCUUCCUCCUCUUUCUGUUUUCCUACUCAUUCUUUUCAAACUUUUGACUUUCCUUUAGGAACUUUAAGUCUUAGAGCAAGCAUUUUCUUCUUCAUGAGGCUUCUGGGAGUCUUCUGUGUGACCCUGAAGGCCUGAUCUUGGUGGUGCCGCGACACCAGGGUUAAAGCUGCUCUGUCCUGAUUACAGCUGUAUGAGAAACCUUGCGGGACCUUCGAAAUAUGAUAAUAAAAUCCUCACAGAUUUAUCAGGUGGGAUUAUGUGUGAUAAAAGAUAAAAAGGGUAAAGGAAAUAGAAUACCCUGCUUAGUGCUGGGCACAUGGUAGACAGUGAUCAUUAGCAUAACUGUGACUGUGAAUAUUAGUGAGAAGAGUGGUACUAGAAGCAAUAAUAUUUCAGGUACUCUCAUGCAGGAAGAGAUAGUUCCUCCUACAAAUCCUAUAUGGUUCUACAUACUCCAUCUAAAUUUUCCACAUUUUUUUCCUCCAUUAGACUGUGAAGCCCCUCAUAACUGUGAUCUUCUUGUUAUGUGUUAAUUUACAUAUGCCAAACCUCACUGCUGAGAGGAUAGGAGGUAGUUUAUAAACACACACACAUACAUGUGAAGCAAUGGAAAAAACAUAUGGUUGUUAAAACUAUAACAAAAGAAAAAUAAGAGUAGCAAAAUAAAAUUAGAGUAAGUUAGUGGAUAAGAAUGUGUAUCGUACAGUAUUGUGUAAUUUCUAAGAUAGAUUUUACCUUUGAUAGGUUGCCUUUGAGCUUACUAGUGGCUGCAGCAACAAAGGAAACAAGAUGUAUAUCAUUCGCAAGCUAAAAAUCAACCAACUACUGAGGAUAAGCAUAACUUUUCCUUAAGUUGAGACUUUUGAGAAAUUUCUUUGGUGCUUUCAUCACAAAGUGAACCUGUGGUAUACUGUGAAAAAGUGCUACUCACAUUGCGAUUCUUGGACCUUAUCACUUUGUAAUUCAUUAGACUGUGGAAUCAUAGGCCCCACCCAAACUUAUUAAAAUCAAAUAAACAUUUUAACAAUCCUUAAGUGAUUUAUGUUCACAAUAUUACUUGAAUGCUGUGGAGGACAGUGUUUUAAAUAACUUCCUUAAAAUAAAUUAGUGAAUUUUGUAUGCUGGCUUCUUUAUAUGUUUAGUUUGAAUUCCAUAUUUCAAAUAUGUCAAAAAGUAAUGUAUAAAAUAUAACUCAGUUUCUGGAUCUGAAAUAUUUUAUUAUCUUUCAAAAUCUGCUUCAAGCCAGUUUUUAAAUAAAAGAUAAAAUAUUAUAGGUAUAGUUGUGCUUUCUUCUCCCUUCUCUUUUUCUGCCUCCUUCCCUGGAGGUGACCUUUAUUGGAAAACAGAGGAGCAUCAUUCCAGUGUAGGUUAUUUUUAGUUAUAGACAUGUGGAAUCUCAGGUCCUAACAGAAACUAUUAAAGUCAAAUUCACAUUUUAAGAAUGUCUAGGUAUAUACUUUUGUAUAUAGUCAUAGAAUCCCAUAUUUUAUGUCAUAUGUUCAUGGCAAGAUCUUCAGUCUUCAGUGGAAACCUGGGAGAGCGCAUGAAAGCGUAAUUCAGAGCUAUUAACACAAACUCCAAAAUCUGUGGGAAGAAAGUGGUCAUAUUUCAAAUGGUCUGGCUUAAUCCAAGGAAAGAAUUUAAAUAUAAGCACUGCGAGAAUGGGUGGAAAAGGAAAAAAAAAAAAAAAAGAAUCAAUGAGCAAUGGUUAUUCUGGCAAUACUCCAGGAUUGGAAAGAUCCAUGUGAGAAUCUGAUUUUCUACUGAAUGGCUGCACUAUUAUAUUAAAAUGAUGGUAUGAAUGUCAGUGCCAAAUUCCAGAAAUUCUCCCCUCUUUUUCUUACUUAAAGAAGAGAGAUUUACCAUCUUUUACUGAACUUUUAAGCUGCUCUACCCAGAGAGAGGGAGGCAGGUGCCAAAUCUGUGGCUUUACCAAGCUGGGCAAGAGGUGAUGGUUGACAUGAAUUAUCCAAGGUCAAAGUGAAAGGGCAUGUGAGAAUGGAGAAAAAGGGUAAAAUAGAAGAGAAAGGAAUGACCCUCCGUCUUCUGCUCUCUUCCCCGAGUUUCCCCAACUUCAUCCCAUUCUCUUGAAGAUUCAUCCUACCUUCCUCCAAUUCUGUGAUUCCACCAGGAUCUUUCUGGAAGUUCUUAGAUGUCCAGUCUAAUUCUGAAGAAAAAUGUGAAUGAUGAAUAAACCUAGAAAUCACAUUUACUAAUUAACCAAGAAAAGUUUAUUAAUAAUUUUUUAAAUCACAUUUACUAAUAAACCAUGAAAACAAUGCUCAGAAUUCUUUCAGAAUAACUGCAGCUUUGUUCAACUUGAAGGAGCUUUUAUUUUUCAGGUCUCUCUUAAGCAUAUAUUAUUGUGGUUUAGGGAAGUUUUUAAAUUACAAGGGUAACAGUUCUGAGCGUUCAUGCACAUACACACACAUCGGCAUUUUGGCACACACACACACACAAAAAUGGUGAUGAAUUUCUUUAAAAUGGUGAUGAAUUUAUUAUAGUCUCUGGUGAGAAUCUAGAAUGCAGGUAUUUGUAGCACAUGCAUAAGCAGAGUUGUUAGUCCACUGGGUGUACUCAUUACUUCAAAAAGCAUUAUAAGGGAACUGGGGAUACAGCUCAGUGGUGGAGCCCUUGCCUAGCAUGCAUAAAGCCCUGGGUUCCAUCUCCAGCCUGGGGAAAAAAAAUUCCAACAGAAAAAGCAUCAUAAAAAUUGUCCAUUUACUCAUCAUAAAACUUCAGGAUAAAGAAAAUGCAAACAUUAAAGUUUUGGUGUCUGGAACAAUCUACAUGGUAUCCUUAAUAUAUUAUCUUUUGCUAAUCUUUAUGUAGUAUUGUUUGUUAUCUUUCUAAUCAGUCUGUCUGGCUGUGCAGGGCCAUACAAGAAUUUGGCUGUGUUGGUGAUGUGGGGGGAGGAGGGGGGCAUCUUAGGUAGGAAACCUUUUGGACCACUAGGCUGCACUUGAACAUUCUGCAGAGGUUAGAUAUUUCAGGAUUUCAGGAUUUCAGUACAUUCUCUUUCCAUUUUUUAAAAACCACAGUUCUGUUCCUAGAACAGUGAAGUUAAAUACAAUGAAAGAACACAACACAGAAAGUGCUUAGGAUUUUUAUGUUUGUAGAAAUACUUUUUUUCCCCCACUUAAAAAAUAUUUCUUAAAGACAGAGGAUUAUCUUAACGUGGCACCAAAGAGGGUCCCUUCCUGUCCGUUAAGGUGUGUGAAGCCACUCUUAUGCGAUAUCGUAAAGUCACAACUUGUCUUAAGCUGCAUUUAGGCUUUAAAUCUCUCUUUUAAAGCUCUGUUUAUUUUCAUUAAGCCUCUUCUUUUUAACUCAGGUGAUGUGUUUGUGUUUAGAAAUGUAUAACUUUGGCUUACUUGGCUAUUUUCCCCUCAUGCAGAUUUUAUGCUGGUAAAUGUGCACUAAAGGGCAUUUGUAUAAUUACUUGUUUAAUCUGGAAGCUCAGUGCACUUUGUAUGCUGCGCGACGUGGUUCCCAGCUCAGGUAUUAAUAGUGUUUUUUGAUGAGUUGAUGAGGUUGAUGUUGAUGGCAAUGAAAAGAAGAUGAGAAAAAAAUGAGUACGGUGAAAAUUAGGAACAGAGCAGAAGCACGUUUGCAUCCUUAUAUAGAAGGAUUUGCAGGAGAGGAUCCGUCUCAGGCCUGUACGGCGUCUGCACAUGUCUGUGCAUUCACAGCUGUAAAUAUGCUCAUGGCUUUUCACCUGUUGACUUAAAGCAUGCGUUGACUUCAUUCUGGAAGCUACAUUUUUAGCUAUUUGUUAUUUAUUUAUUUUUAAAUUCAGGGGCAUCGGGGCACUCUACCACUGAGCCACGUCCCUAGCCCUAUUUUGUAUUUUAUUUAGAGAUAGGGUCUCACUAAAUUGCUCAGGGCUUCACUAAGUUGCCAAGGCUGGGUUUGAACUCUUGAUCCUUCUUCCUCAGCCUCCUGAGCUGCUGGGAUCACAGGUAUGCGCCAUCAAGCCCGACCUAGCUAUUUGUUCUUAAAAGACAUGAGAAAAAAUAGUCUUUCUGUAUCAUUUGGUAGUUAAAGCAUGAAAUAAUUGUUUCUUAUAAUCCACAGUUUAUAGGGGUCACUAGAGAUUAUUUGGUUCUACUUUUUUAAAUUGAUUUUUUUAAAAAAAAUGACAGCAGAAUGCAUUACAAUUCAUAUUACACAUAUAGAGCACAAUUUUUCAUUCCUCUGGUUGUAUAUAAAGUAUGUUCACAACAAUUUGUGUCUUCAUACAUGUACUUUGGAUAAUGGUGUCCAUCACAUUCCACCAUCAUUGCUAACCCCCUGCCCCCUCACUUCCGCUCCCACCCCCUCUCUCUGCCCUAUCUAGAGUUCAUAUAUUUCUCCCAUGCUCCCCCUCCCUACCCCACUAUGAGUCAGUCACCUUAUAUCAGUGUGAUUUUACUUUUAUUUUAUUUUUAUUAUUUUUUAUUUUUUUUAGUUUUAAUCUUUAUUUAUUUUAUUUUUUUUUAAAUUUUUUAUUGUUGGCUGUUCAAAACAUUACAUAGUUCUUGAUAUAUCAUAUUUCACACUUUGAUUCAAGUGGGUUAUGAGCUCCCAUUUUUAUCCCAUAUACAGAUUGCAGAAUCACAUCAAUUACACAUCCAUUGAUUUACAUAUUGCCAUACUAGUGUCUGUUGUGUUCUGCUGCCUUUCCUAUCCUCUACUAUCCCCCCUCCCCUCCCCUCCCCUCCCCUCUUCUCUCUCUGCCCCCUCUACUGACAUUCAUUUCUCCCCCUUGUAUUAUUUUUCCCUUUCCCCUCACUUCCUCUUGUAUGUACUUUUGUAUAACUCUGAGGGUCUCCUUCCAUUUCCAUGCAAUUUCCCUUCUCUCUCCCUUUCCCUCCCACCUCUCAUCCCUGUUAAAUGUUAAUCUUCUUCUCCUGCUCUUCGUCCCUACUCUGUUCUUAGUUACNAUAGUAGCCAACUCUUUCUUCUAUCAGACGGCGUGUCUCUGAUUUGAUAUCAAGCUCCUUGAUCCAUUUUGAAUUCACUUUUGUGCAUGGCGAGAGAAAGGGAUUCAGUUUCAUUUUGUUGCAUAUGGAUUUCCAGUUUUCCCAGCACCAUUUGUUGAAGAUGCUAUCCUUCCUCCAUUGCAUGCUUUUAGCCCCUUUAUCAAAUAUAAGAUAGUUGUAGUUUUGUGGAUUGGUUUCUGUGUCCUCUAUUCUGUACCAUUGGUCCACCCGCCUAACAAAAGAGGUGAAUCAACCUAAUAAAAGAGGUGAAAGACUUAUGCAAUGAAAACUACAGAACCAUAAAGAGAGAAAUAGAAGAAGAUCUUAGAAGAUGGAAAAAUAUACCCUGUUCAUGGAUAGGCAGAACUAACAUCAUCAAAAUGGCGAUAUUACCAAAAGUUCUCUAUAGGUUUAAUGCAAUGCCAAUCAAAAUCCCAAAGGCAUUUCUUGUAGAAAUAGAGAAAGCAAUCAUGAAAUUCAUAUGGAAAAAUAAACGACCCAGAAUAGCAAAAACAAUGCUAAGCAGGAAGUGUGAAUCAGGCGGUAUAGCGAUACCAGACUUCAAACUAUACUACAGAGCAAUAAUAACAAAAACAGCAUGGUACUGGUGAUUUUACUUUUAGAUGGACUAGUCUUACACUGUUUGGAACAGAAGAGAAUGUAUUCACUUGCAGCCAUUCUAGCUAUAAAUAGUUCCAAACAUUUUUCUUGACUUUACUGUUUCAGAUAUUAGUAAAAAGUUGUCAAAAAUAGUUGUGUAGCUUUUUGUCUCAUGCAGUCCUUAAAGUACAAUAAAACUGCCAUUUUUCUGAAAAGUGUACGAUAAGAAUUUAUGUUAUUGUUAUUUUUUAGCACUUACUAGGCUUAAAGGUUUUUCUCUUUGUUUUAGAUUUUUACAGCAACCUGUGAAGUAGGCAUUUUGCUGCUAUUCUAUAGGUGAGGAAAUCAAGCCACAGAUAGCUUAAAUAACUUUCUCCAGAUUAGUGGUUUUGAAUCAGGGAGACUAAAAAAUGCUUUUAAUGCCUUGGCAGAACAUUAAUUUCACAGCAUUUUAGUAGGGUUUCUUAAAAAGAGAAACUUCUGCUUACAUAAGUGUUGGAAACAAAAUUAAACAGCUUAUUGAUAAACAUUUUGUUAAUUAUCCUAAAAAGCCUUAUAGCUGUGAUAUCAAGGCAUUUAUAGGAGAACAUGGUGGAGACUAUGGUUGUCCAACAUUUGUUAAGUUAACUUUCCUGUUGAAAGAUGAAUUUUCUAGCCCUUGCAUGAUACGACCUCAUUAAAAUUAAUCUCAUUAAGUUACUAAUGGUGGUUACAGUUUCUUCUCUGUGCUGGGUACGAUGCUAGGCAUAUUAACAACUUGAUGGAAUUCUCAGAGCAAUAUUAGCUAUAAGCUCUCUGAAGGCAGGUACCAUAUGUCUUAUUCAAAUUAUGUGCAUUGAAUUAAAAGAGGAGAAAAUUAUUACUAUGUUUUGUUUGUUUGUUUGUUUUUAUUUUUGGUACUGGGGAUUGAACUCACUGAGCCAUAUCCUCAGCCCUAUUUUGUAUUUUAUUUAGUGACAGAGUCUCACUGCAUUGCUUAGCACCUUGCUUUUGCUGAGGCAGCCUUUGAACUUGUGAUCUUCCUGCCUCAGCCUCCGGAGCUGAUGAGGUUACAGGUAUAUGCAGCUGCGCCUGGCUAUUACUAUGUUAAUAGAUGGAGAGACAGAGCAACCAGGCAGUUUCAGUAAUUUACAUUUUCCUAUAGACUAGUAAGGGGUAGAGUAGAUAUUUAAUACCAAAUUUAUCAGAUUUUAAAUCACUAGUCCAUGCUGGAUUCUAUAUUCCUUAGGAUACAGGAAGCCUUGAAUAACCCACUGGCUGCUUCCUUAGCCUUAUUCCUUCCUAUGUGUCCAUGAUUUUGUAAAUACUGUGUUCUGUAUCUGGAAUAUUCUUAUAAUUUUUCUUUUUCUUUUUGCCCUUUGAACAUUGCUAAUAUAUUAUCUUCUAUGUAAGUGCUUUUCAAACUAGCAUUCCUAUCUCCAUGCCCUACAGAAUUACAUCCUUCCUUGUGCUAUUCUGAAUCAGCUAUUUAAUGUUACAUUGUAAUUUUUAUUUCUAUUCUGACUUCUUACAAGAAAAGGAGGUAUUACAGGUCAGGGUUCUUGCUUCAUUUCUUUUGUUCUGUAAGGCCUAGGUAUAGUCUGGGUAUUAUAUGUUUUAUAAAUUUAAAAUGAGUGAAUAAAAUAGUGUUAUGUAUCACUUAAAUAUCCUGGAUCUUGAGUGAGCCCUUGGCAAGUGAUGGAUUGCAACCAAUUCUUGGUUGAAUUCCCUAGUGGACGGUAGAAGAGAUUGUGAUUCCACUCUGGUAAGUAAAGAUGUAUCUAUGCAUUUCUGAUUCCUAAAGGCAGAAAUGAAAUUCCUUAUAAUCCUAGCUACCAUGAAAUUCUGAGAGGCUGGGUAGAAGGAAUUUCAGAGGCCAGUUCACAGGAGUGCUUCUUCCUCAGAUCAGGCAAUUAGGUUUAUAAAAAAAAAUAUCCAAGCCAAACAACAUCAAGCAGAAUUUGAAAAUCUCAUAAGUCCUGUGUCAGAAGUUACUGUGUGACUUCUGCCACACUCUACUGAUCAAAAUGAGUCAGGGUCAGCCAUAUUGAUUGUGAAGGACGUUAAUGCUGGGGACAGAUAUCAGGAGACAUGGUUUGUUGGGGACCAUUUCUCCCACUUUGGGAGAAAAUCUAGCAUUCAGGAACUGGGAAUAUUUUGUCUACAUCAAUUAGUCAAGACGUGUCUUAGGCGGGGGGAGUUAGAAGAGGACUGCUUUGGAAGUGCUUGGUUCAAGUGCUUGGUUCAUUGUUACGACAAUGGGAGCUCUGGUUCCCUUAGGAUGGAGGAGCAGGAAAACGAUACAUCAACAACAGGGACAGAGAUUUCACAGGGGCAGAGAAUCAGACAGUUGCUGGACAUGAAUUUGAGCGAGGAAGACCUCACCCAGGAGGAGUUUAUAAAGGAAGAGGAGACCCAUGAGGUACUGAGAAAGAGAAGCCAGGGAAGGAGAUGGCAGCAGAAUAACCCCAGAAGUUGAAAAAGAAAACACUUGUUUAUCCUAGAAGCCCAAAACACAGAGAUCUAUCAGUGCACAGCAUGAGUGAGAAUCAGGUGAUCUGGUUGUUUAAAGGUCAUCAAUGAGCCUGGAGAAACAGUGUCUUUGGCGUUAUGGAGAGUAGAAUCUAGAAUAUAAUGGUGCUUGUUCUCAGCUUUAGUAUCUGUGAGUAACCUGGGAGUCUUGUCAAAACAACUCUCAUUUGGCAGCUGUGGAGGGAGACAUAGGCAUCUUCAUGUUUAAUAAGCAUCUCUGAAGAGUCUGAGGCAAACCACAUUUUGAGAAAUACUAGAUUAGAGAGAAAAUGAGAAGUGGAGGAACUAAGGUAACUGUAACUACAUGCCGUCCAGUGGCUUCUGGCAAAAGAUGGGAUGAGAGCUCUGUAAGAACAGAGAUGAGAAUUUUUUUUUUCUUGCCAAGGUGAGUAUAUUCGAACACAUUUGCAGACAAAGGAGACUUGGAUGUGGAAGAAAUAUAAAUGAGAAAACUGAUGUUGCAAAUUCCAGUGGAAAUGGGAAGAUCCGUAAUGGGUCGAGUGUGACAGCAUCUGUCAUCCCUGCUAGUCCCAGCUUCACACCAGGGUUGAUCCCAAUUAUUAUGCUCAGUCAUUUUUAAUCCUGGAACCAAUGAGAGAACAUCUUGAUGGGUUAUUAUUGCCUCCAUUCUCAUGAACAAAGGACCAAAGGACAUACAAAGCUAGUUUGGCUGGCCACCAAUGUCUGACGAAGGGAACAAACAACUGUGUAUUAAAAAGCAGUAUUAUCUUGUAGGUUGAUUUCUAUUUUUCCUUAAGUUGUUGUGAUCACUAGUUUAUUGGCCCUGAUACUGAGGUCUGUGGUGCCCCACCCUUUCUCAUUAUCCCUCUCUGCCAGCUGUGUUUUGUGAAGAAUUAGAAUCUUACCAGUACCUAGAGAAGCAGGCUGAGUAGUGGGCUGAGUUGGCCUGCCUUUCUGCCCACCUUUUUCUAUUUCUCAUUACCAGACUCUGUUCAAGGAAAAACCAUCUGCCUUUGGUUGGGGUAGUAGUAUAAAGUGGAAAUUCCUGGGCUCUUCCAUGGAUCUGUUUGAAUUAGUAAUUCUGGAUGUGCGCUCAGGAACUAGGCAUUUUAAACAAAUUCCCUCGCUGACUCUUGUACAUGUAAAGUGAAAGACUUUUGAGCUGCAAUUCAUAGCUAAACUGUGGCACCAACCUAGGUGCCCUUCAACAGAUGAAUGGAUAAAAAAAAGUGUUAUAGCUACACAAUAGAAUAUUACUCAGCCACGAAAAAGAAUGACUUUAUGACUUUUGCUGGUAAGUGGAUGGAUCUGGAGAUUAUCAUGCUAAGUGAAAUAAGCCAAUCCCCAAAAACAAAAAGCCAAAUUUUCUUUCUGAUAUGAAGAUACUAAGACAUAAUAAGGUGGGGUGAGGUGAGGAAGAAUAGAAGUUUAGUGGAUUAGACAAAGGGGAAUGAAGGGAAGGGAGGAGGAUGGGAAUAGGAAAGACAGUAGGUUGAACUGGACGUAACUUUCCUAUGUUCAUGUAUGAAUACAUGACCAGUGAAACUCUACAUCAUGUACAACCACAAGAAUGGAAAGUUAUCUGCCAUGUAUGUAUGAUACGUCAAAAUACACUCUACUGUCAUGUAUAUCUAAAAAGAAUAAAUUAAAAAAAAAAACUGCUGCUGAGCUGGACUGUACUUCUGGAAACAGCCUCAUGCUGCUCCCACAACCUCCUUUUGACUACAACAGUAUACUGAACCUUUAGCACCGACUGUGAGACUCCAGUCAAUCCCUGGAUGGGAAAACUUGAAGAGCAACAUUGUUCUAGGUUGGACUGGAAUAUGCUAAGUGUCCUGAGUCUCAUCAUAAAUGACUCCUGGGCCUCUCCAGAUGAUGGGAGGUUAGGGUGAGUGGCAAAGCCUUUUCAUGGAACCUACUUUGCCUACUCUCAACUAAAUGUAUUUUGGCUCAUUCUUUGCUAGUUCUUUCUAGUUCAGAUGGAAAGUCAUAGAAUGUUUUAGGUCUAUCCAGUAUCAGCCUUGGAAAGAAAUAUGACACUUUCAGGCAUGAGAGUGAGUCUAUUAAAGCAGGGAUAAUAAAGAGAACUUGUUAGUUCUUCAACUUCGUAUCAGCCAACGCAGACAUUCCUGUGCAUCCCGCCUCCUUCUGUUCCCAUCCCGCUCCUUGGGAUGGAGGCAGACUCACGACUUAUUGCCUCACUCCUUCUGUGCCCUGCAUCUCGUUGCGUCCCACCCUCUAAGUGACUUUGACUUGCUGGUUACCCCCAUAGCCUGGAACAUCAAUUUCUUCUUGUUUUUGGCUCUUUCCCCUUAGAUUUUUACCCCCUCAAGUCUUCUACAUGUUUUCUGAAUCAAAAUGUUUCCAUUAAACCCUCUUCUCCCUUGUCUCUCUUCCUCUUCAUGGUACACCAUAAUACAAGCAUUAUCUACACCAUCUUCUCACUUCCUCCUCCUUUACUUAUUUCCCCCAGUACUCGAGAAUUUUGUUUCAAGGCUACCAUACCUUUGAAACUAUUUUGUCAGUCAUCCAAGGUCUCUACACUGAAUCCAAUAGACAUUUCUCAGUCUUUAUCCCAUUUAUUUUCUUGGCAGCAUGUGAUUGGAUUGGCUAUUUCAUCUAUCCUGAAAUUCUUCCUUCUUACUUAACAGUAUCCCUGUGCUGCCCACCUGCUCCCCUGCUCUUCAUUCUGGCUACACUCUACUGUAGACUUCAGUUUAGCAAGUGACCUAGGCUCCUUCUUUAUUUGGACCUCUCUCACAUACAUGCCUAUUUCUCUAGAAGGAUCACAUUCCUCUUAACGUCAAAGACUCCAAUCUAUCCUCUGAUUCUCCCCUUCUAUCACCUGUAUUCAAGUCUGGGAAAGUUAUUUUUCCCCUUCACUCCAACCGACCUCAUUACGUGACACAUGACAUGUGACACGUUUUCAUUGUACUUUAAUUACGUGCUUGUCUAAAUUCUUCACUAGAGUAUCAACUACAUAAGACUCAGGCUUGUGUCAAUUGUUUUUACUGCUCUAUCUCCAGGUCCUGGUGGCCAUCGAUAGUAACUGGCACAGGGAUCAGGUAGGAGCAUAAUCAGUAUUUAUUGCAUGAAUGAAAUGCAUCCACACAUACCUCCAUGCACAUGCAUUUACAUGCACAUGCAACCUGGUCCUAUGGAGACUGCGAGAAAUCCAAUUGAGUAUGUGAUAACAUUUCAUCUCUAGAGCCUAUAUUUUAAUUGAAAAGAUAGGUUCACAAAAGAUUGCAAUAAAAGGUGGUAAAAGCUCAGAGCAAAUUGGGUGAUACAAACCUUUGUAUGUGUUAAGAAAAAGAAGAUGACAUGGUCAGUCGGGUUGAGCAGUAAAUACUUAGGAAAAAAGUUAUUUUUAAACUUGAUCUUAAGGGCUGGGGUUGUGGCCCAGUGAUAGAGUGUUGCCUAGCGUGUGUGAAGCACUGGGUUCAAUCCUCAGCACCACAUAAAAAUAAAUAAAUAAAUAAAUAAAUAAAAUAAAGGUCUCUCUCUCUCUCUAUAUAUAUAUAUAUGUAAAUUGUAUAUAUUUAUAUAUAUAUAUAUAUAUAUGUAAAUUGACCUUGAAGGAUGAUAUAAGUUGUGAGAGGGAAAUCCAGGAUGAUGCAAGUUGUGAGUGGUAAGGGUAGAGUAGAAAGGCACAAGGCAAAGUUGAAAGUGACCAACCAGUUCAGCUAGAGCAAACCGGUUUGUGUGGGUGAGAAAAAAGAAAAGAUUGAUUGGCAAACAGACGGUGUGUGCAGUACUGGGGACUGGAUUCAGAGGUGCUGUACCACUAAGCUAAAUCUCCAGCCAUUUUACUUUUUAUUUAUUUAUUUUUGAGACAGGGUCUCACUAAGUUACUGAGGCUGGCCUCAAACUUUCAGUCCUUCCAUCUCAGCCUUCUGAGUUGCUGGGAUUACAGGCAUGUGCCACUGUAAAGUUGACCAAGUUAUGCUAGGUGCAUUUGUGAAUAUGGAACAAUGCAUUCUACUUUUAUAUAUCCAGAGUGCAUCCAUUUAAAAAAAUAAACAGAAGGAAGACCAAAAGAGUAGAGAAAGGGAUUCUGCAGGCAACAGCAGUGAAAGAAACAGGAUGGUUCUGGGGAUUGAAAUCGAGAAAACUGUGUAAUAUGCAUUUAUGAUAGGUCAAAACGAACCCCUCUAUUAUGUUUAACUGUAGUGCACUAAACAAUAAAAAAGGCAGGAAAGCUUAGCAUGUGUGGAAGUCCAUAAAAGGAAAAAAAGAGAGUACUUGUUCUUCUUUAGUAAGUGGGAAAACGCUAAAAGAUUGACUUUCACAUUUCCCCGUGUGCUGACAUAAAGUAUAAAAUUAUUAAUCAUAAUUGCUUUUUUCUUUGAACAUGCAUUAAUUAAUGCAAUCAGCUUCGGCUGGUAUCCGAGCACCACCUCUGACAGGGAGAGCACCACUCAGGACUCUGUGUUGUAGCUGAUUAAAUGCUCCUGGUUAUAAAAGGAUUGUCCUGGACAAUUGAUUAUUCUGUCAUAUUAAAAUUUCAAUUAAAAUUUUAAAAUAAAGUUUUUUUAAAAAAAAAAAUCUGCCAUGAUGACUAAUCAGUGUAAGUAUUGCUGCAGUAGUUCUCCUGUUUUCGUUGAAAACUGUUUGGCUUUAUGAGAAAUUGAAUUACCCUGCAACACAUCAUUCCAGGUAAUUAGGGAACUGCUGUAUAAGGAUAGAUCUAAUUCGACUUCUUGUAACUUGCCACAAACAUUCUCCUUUGGUAUAUUGUACAAAAUUAUUAAAUUUUUAUCAUCCCUUCAUAGGUGUCUAGUAUAUAUCAAAGAUUAUUUGAAUUUACUUUGUGUCAUCUUUUUUGUGACAUUAUUUAUGUGUUUUGUAUUAUUUAUAUGUAUUGUUACAUGUUAGUUGAAUAACUUACUAAAUUAAAAUAUACCAUUAAACACCAUUAAAUACUGAUUAUGUAUUAUAAUUAUAUAGUCUACAUAUGAUUUAAAAAUACAAGUUUAGUUGCUUUGCAUAUUUUUUACUGUGUAUAUUUUUUUGGUGUCAAUAUCCCUAUUAAUGAGGCAUAGCUUCAAAUGCAACCUGAGUACUUUUAUUCCUUUUAUAUUAAUCUGUGAUCUCUUUCCAAGAGUAAUAGAUUUAAGCCAUCUUUUUAGUCUUCAGACUUUCCAUCCCAAAUCACCUCUCUGUACCAUUAAGAAAUGUACUUCUGAAUUGCUUCGAAAUUCAGUGCAAAUGUUCUCACGGAAACAGACAAAUGUGCUUCUUGAAAGACCAGCUUUUGGAUGCCUGCCAGGGCAGUGCUGGCUAGUAUCAGCAAAGAAACACCAUAAACUACACCGGAUAAGUGAAAAUACCUUUUCUCUACUUUCCUGAAAACCAUCCCCCACCCAGCCCCGGAAUACCCAGAAACAGGAAGGAGAGCAGGCACGGAAAUGCAAAAUGGUAAUAAGUACCCUCGAUUUCCCUGAGCAGUGCCUUGCUCAGGCCCGAGUUGGGAAUUGGGGGAAGAAGGGAGGAGAUAUGGAUUGAAUGUUAAACUUUUAAAUUCAAUUCACAUAAAAUUUGAAAACUCUGAAGUGAGUCUUCACUUCUAAAGGGACUCUUGAUUUCGGCUGAAAUGUCUAGAGAGCUCCUGGCAUAUACUAGAAAUUUGUCAUAUGGUAAAAGAAAUGAGAGGGAACCUUGAGGCCACUGGUGAGAGAGAAACAAACCACUUCCUGUUGGCACCACAUUCAGUUCAGCCCUUUUAACUUAAUCUGCAAUGAUACUUAGGCUUGGUAUGUUAGAUUGAUUUUUAGAAUUACACACACACACACACACACACACAAUCAGUCUCCAAAUCAUCUUACUACUUCUCUUCCUUUUCUAGUUUCUCCAUUUUCUCUCCCUCACACCUUCCUUUUCUCCUUUUCUUCCUUCCUUGAAUAAUGAGACAGUAUUUUGAGCUAGGCACUGUGCCAGAUGAUAGGGACAUACCAGUGAAAAGGAGGAAAAACUCUGCCCUGGUGGAGUUUACAUUCUAGGUUAGAAAAUAAGCAGUUCAUAGCUUGGAAACUGAGCCUGAAUGAAUAGAGGAGCAUACCACAGGAAUACCUGGUAAAGAAUGUUCCAUGCAGAGGAGAGAAUGAACUUGAAGACCUUGAAAGAAGAGUGUGAUCAGCAGAUUUGGGAAGGAGCAGAAGACUGAGGAAAUGUGGGGAAAGUUUUAGGAAAAUUGUUGGGUGGGUGGGGGCAAAUGAUGUAGAACCCACAGGCCUUUUAAUUUUAUUCUGUGUGAUGGAAAGCCAUUGGAAGGCUCUGGUUAGCAAGGGAUAUAAGUUAUUUUGGGUUUAAAAAUGGAUGGACCAUAGGAAGACAAGAAUGGGAACCAGAGGACAAUUUAGGGAACUAUAAUAAUGCUUCAAGGAAGAGCUGAAACAUACCUUCGCUAAGGAGACAGAGAAUAUGAUGAGACAUGAUUGGAUUCUAGUUAUAAUUAGAAGUUGAAGUUGAGAAUUUGCUAAUGCAAGCUAUGCACAAAAGAAUCAAGGAUUAUUCCUUGAUUGAUUUGUUUUUUGGUAGAUGCAAGCUAUGAAACAAAACAAAUGAGUCAAAGAUUAUUCCUUGACUGGUUUAUUUGUCUUCUAGGGUAAUUGGGGGAACUUGAUAUCAUUUACUGUGAUUCAAGAGAGAGUAGAAAGAACAGAUUUGGGGGGAGAAAUCGAAAGGUCAUCUUUUGCUAUAUUAGGUUUUAGAUUUCUUGUAGACAUUCUACUUGAGGUAUGAGUUCAGAGAAUAGGUAGAAAAUGAGAAGUGAAUUCAGAAGUUUGAUCUUUGGUUUUAAAAACAACAAUCAUAGCUGGCAUUUAAGCCAACUGAUUUCAGUUGACCACCUAGGAAGUGGGUCAAAAAACCGAGUUUGGCUUACUCCAGCAGCUAGAGAAUGAGAGAGCAGUUGAUGAUCUACUUUCUGAUCAAUGGAGGUUGAGAAGGUUCAUUCAAUGAUGCAGGGAGAAGCUAAAGAGAGAAAAUGUUUCAGAAAUGAUAAAAGUGAGCCAAGCACAGCACUGCACGCCUGUAAUCCCAGUAGCUUGGGAAGCUGAGGCAGGAGGAUCUUGAGUUCAAAGCCAGCCUCAGUUAAAGCAAGGUGCUAAGCAACACAGUGGGACUCUAAAUAAAUAAAAUACAAAAUAGGGCUGGGGAUGUAGCUCAGUGAUUAAGCACCCCUGAGUUCAACCUCCAGUUCCAAAAAACAAACAAAAAAAGAAAUGAUGAAAGUGAUUGGUCCUUAAACGCUGGUAAGGAGAUAUGUUAGAUGAAGAUGGAAAACUAGAUACUAUUGAAUUUGGCAAAAGGGGGUAUCAUUUGUAACUUCUAUGAAGAGGUUCCAGUGGAGUGGAAAUGUUGAAAUCUUGAUUAAAGUUGGUACAAAGGGGAACGGGAGGUGGGAAGUAGAGAGAAUGAACAGAUGGCCCUUUAUAGUUGGUUUGCUGUAGAAGAACAAAGAAAAGAAGUGGUAGUUGCAGCCCAGUGAUGGAUCAAAAGAGGGUUUCUAUUUUAUCUCAUCAUCAUCAUAGUUUUUUUUUUUUUUUUUUUUUUGUGGUGCCAGGGGUUGAACCCAGAGCCUUGCAUAUACUACACAAAUGCUUUAGCACUGAGCUUACUUCCCUACCUGAAGGUUUUUGUUAUUUAUUUUCCCAAUACUGGGAAUCAAACCCAGGAAUGCUCUACCACUGAGCUACAUUCCCAGCCCAGGUUGCUUUUUGUUUUGAGACAGAGUCUUGCUAAGUUGCUGAGGCUGGUCUUGAAUUUGGGAUCUUCCAGCCUCAGCCUCUCGAGUAGCUGGAAUUACGGGUGUGCACCACUGCACCAGACUGGGUUGAGGGUUUGUUUCCAGAUAGGUGAUAUUGCAGGUUUGAUGUGGAAAUGAUCCAAUAGAGGAGAAAAGUCAUGAAGGGAGAGAGUAAGGGACACUUGUAGAAACUAAGUAUGUAACCUAGGUGAGAAAGAGCUGAGACACAAUGAAUGGUUUGAUCUUUGGUUUUAAAAACAACAAUCAUUUAUGUCCUGCAUAAAUAAAAAUAAUAAUAACCCUAUUUACCUGCUGUUGAGCCAUUAGUUCAAGUAGGAUCUUUGAAAAUGGGAAACAGCUUUUGAACGUAAAGGCUUAUAUUUAGUUGGGUCAUGUUUACUGAAUGAGAUGGUCAAGUUACCCACUAGUGACAGAUUGAUUGGCACGUGGAACUCCCACAUUGCUGGGUGAUGGCAGCAGGGACAUUAUGUUCCCACAUAUUUAUUGGAACACAGUUUUUGUACAAUUAGACCAGAAAAAAAAUGAAGCAUCUUUGAUGUGCCAAGCCCUGAACUGGGUGCUAUGAAUACCGUGAUGAGAAGGAUGAUGUCACCACCCAUGAGGAGCUUACAGUAUAGUCAAGGGAGACAGGAGGUAGAGAAUUGAAUAAACAAAUAAGACAGUUUCUGGUGACAUUUGUCAUAAGCAGAAAACACAUAGGGAGAUAUGAUAGAGACAUUUUCCUCAUUCUUUGAGAUUGAAAUUUGUUAUAUAUGGGACCUGUGUGGCUCAGAAACAUGAAAUGUGACUGUCACUUUCACUCUGACAGAGGUGUAAGGUAGGUGGAGGAAGACAGAAGAUUCCUAUUUUCAGAACAGGAAUCAAUGACUUGGGGCACCAAAUUGUAAGAAUCUUUAUUUAAAUAAAUAUUUUUGACUCUAAGUGUAUUGCUGUAUUUAUAAUACCAGGAAAUUUUGUGUAUAACAAAUUGAAUAUGCUCAUUAUCUAUUUUAAAAAAAACAUCCUAUACAUUCAAAAACAAGCACAAUUAUAAACAUACAGUUGAUCCUCACCACCGUAAAGAACAACAAACAUAAUAUAAACAUACAAGAGUUAACAUAUCUUCAACUUCAAUAGAAUCCAAGAAGAUUAGGCUUGUACUUUUUAAUAUAAACAGUGAAGUCAUCAUUUAUGUUGAUAUAAACCAUAUUUUUCAGAAAAGUAUAAUGUAUUAUUGAUCAGUUUUAUGUAGAGACAUCCUUUUAGAUUGUUUUAAGGUUAUGUUUUAAAUGAUUUUAUUUUACUACUAUUAUUCUAUACUUAUACAUUAAACAUUAAUAUUUGCUGAGGGAAAGUAAUUUAUAAAAUGAUUUUUUUAAAAGACUACACCGGAGAGAUUUUCCUAAACAGAGAUAAAUAUUUUAAACUAAUACCCUCUAAAAUUUCACUUUGGAAACAUGAGACCAUUUAGAGACUAUAAAUGUGCUGUUCAAGACUGUUGGCUAAGCAACUCUAAACCCAUGGAUUCCUUGUUAACUAAAUGCUACAGCAAUGGAUAAAAAAGUAUGAUUGCUUUAAUACCCCCUUUUUUCCAUGUCCUUACACUAGACAACAGUAUGGAUUUGAAAGGCAAUUUUAUCUUUUAAGCUCUUGAAAAUUUUGAGUCUUUGGUAUUUGUGCUCUAAUCAGAUGCAACAGAAUUUUGAAAUUUAUUUUCAAAAAUCUUCUCCUAGUGGUAAAGUGGAAGAAACAUUAACAUGGGAAGUAUAAUAUUUCUAGAAAAGACACAGUAUAAUAUUCUAGGCCUUUCUUCCUCCCAGUUUUGCAGACAUAAGCCUCAGCUUUUUAAAGGCCUUGGCAGAUGUUAAAAUGUAUAGUGUUUAUGAUGAUGAUGGUACAUAUAGUAAUGCAGUGAACACGGAGCAACUGAGAAUCCAGAACCGAGUGCCUUAGUAUUGACUUUUAUUUUGGCGUCCCAGACUUGGUAAUCUUACAUAUAAACUUUGGGGAAGUUCAAAAUCACAGGGAAUGUCUAAAAUCUUUGUCUGAAAGUCUUUUUGUUCUUAACUGUCAGAGAAUAUAAAAAAUCAGCUGUGGUAUUUUCAGAACUAUCCAAUUUCAAAUGCCCUUUUAUUCAGUGCUUUUAUGACCAGUUGCUUGACAACAUAUAGAUAUAGUUACUUCAUGUAAAUCUGCUAUUAGUGUUGGGAUAUUUUUCUGGACAUCUGCUGUUAUAUGGUAGUUCCCAAACUAUAGAUAUUAAACUGGUUUUACUCUUUUGCCUUUUCACUGAUUUGAAAGAUUUUUAUAACAGAAAAAUCUUCCUCCACAUACUAUUUUUGAAGUCUUUUUUGAGACAAGUUUUAAUUGCUAGAUGCAUAAUGUAUGCUGGGUUGCUUUAAUAGAGAUUUAACAUUCAUUAGACAUUAAACAUGUUAUAUGCGAACUUAAGUUUUAAAAAUCUCUGAUUUUGUACUAAUUUGAAUAUCUGAGACUGAUUUUUUUGUUAUACAUAAGCUAAACCUUUUAAAAUAUAGUCAUUCUAAAACAGAUUUUUUAAUGAAAAAUUUCAAUAUAUAUAUAUGUGUGUAUAUAUAUAUAUAUAUAUAUAUAUAUAUAUAUAUAUAUCUUCUAGUAGUAACUGCUACUAAUCUUAAUUACACCAAUGAUUAAUGACUAAUACUAAUCAUUAAUCUCUCUUGGCUCAUGUAUGCAUUUUGUUAAUUUAAGCAGUAUUGGGGUUAUAUUUAUAUGCACAUUCAUACAUUUGAGUUGUUCCUCUGCAUUUAUGAAUUUCUUUAGGGUAUUUUAAACUUAUAGGUAAGAACAUGUUUUAUAAUAGUUUUAUAUUAUAUAUCUAAUAUUUAGAGAACACUAAAGAAAAAAUACCCAUAUAAACAUUUUUUUCACUAUAUUUUUUUGGUCUUAAUAAUUAUUAUAGGAGAGAAUAGAUUAAUAAUGCAAAAGGUCAAGAAUAGAAGAAAAAAGUAGGAUCAAUUCAACACAAAAAUUUAUGUAAAUGACUGAAUUUAAAAUAAUCACUUACUAGAUCUUCUAAGUUUAGCAAAUACCUUAAAGCCAAACGUUUAGACUGUUAACUUGGCGGAGAGAGUGACUUUGAAGAUAGUCCAGGUUAAAGCAGUUGUAUGUUUGAAUUAAAAACAAUGGGCAUGUGGGUCCUACACAAUUCUAAGGGAUUUUUUUUUUUCCUUCUAAGAAAAACACAGUCCUGUGGAUCACCAAGUCCAGAUUUGUACAAAGAAAAACUAGUUCAGGGCUGAGACUGAGAGCUGAUACAUUUCAAGGAGGACCGGCCGGCUGCACUUGUGAGCGGUGACAGAUCUCUGUGAAAUAUAAUCCUGAUUAAAAAUGCAUGUGUG